CAGAGGUCUUUUUCAAAAAAUGUAAUGACCCCCUCCCAGGAUGAAUAAAAAGCGCCAACCCGUAAGCGCGUGGUUCCUCAAGUGAACACCAGUUCUGCUAAAGUGAACACCAGUUCCGCUAAAUCUCUCUCCCAAAUAUCUUCCAAUCCGAUCUGAAAAUAAACAGCUGCAAACGUUUUCCGAUGGCCGCCGAGAACAAAACCAAUCUGCCCUCUGCCUCUGUUGACGCGAUCCCCAAGGACGCCUUGGCCGAUGAGUCUGUGAAGGUCGAGAAGUGGGGUACCACCGAGGUUUUACCUUUUCAAGCCACCGCAAGAGCUCCCAAUCGGUCCGAUGCUCUCAAGACGGUCUCUGAUAUGCUUGAAAGCAGGGGGGUCAAAUUUGUUGACCUGAAGACUGAGAAGAAUGGCUCGAUCUCGAUGAAUUUCGAGUUGCCACAUGUCGGUGAGCCGGAGAUCGUUGUUGCCGAUCAGCAUCAGCCGCUUCCUAAUUCUGAAUGGGAGAUGCAGAAAGUCAUCCGCUUCCUCAACGCUACCAUGGACAUUGAGUUUCCUGGAGGAGACAAUAAGGUGAUGGUGGUGAAGGUGUUCAAUCUACCGCCUGAGAUUGAGAAAAAGGAUGUGGCGACUAAGGUUGAAAAUGGCAAGCUAGUUAUCGAGCUGAACACUGUGCAGUCUGUGCUUGAAGAGUACGGGAAGAUCAAGAAGCUUGCCGAGUUGCCGGUUGAUGCGACUGGGAGUGCGAUCUCGAGUUUGAUGGAGGGUCAAACCCUCACUGUCACUAUUGCUCUUGAGAAACCGAAGCCGGAGGAGAAGCCCAAGUCAAGCUCAAAGAUUUGGCGAUUUGCAAAGGGAGCCCUGACUAAAGCAGUGCCAGCCUGUUUGGUUAUGUGUGGCAAGGUGGUGUUGGAUGAAACGAAUAAUGAUGAACCCAACGCCGAGCAAGAAUGAAGGACGGUGCUAAAUUAGCUUCCAUACGCCUCAUGCUGUUGUGUGUUAAAGAUGAGGAGGUUUGAAUAAAUUCUAGAAGAGAUAUAGCUCUUUGUUUGUUUUCUAUAUUAGGAAACUUUUUUAGUGUUUUUUCUUCUUUUCAUUUGAAAGAACUUGUUUUACGCAAAAUAGAGAGAACUUGUGUUAAAGAGUCUGGAAACCUGUUUUCUUCAUUGUGUUACAAACUAUUGGCAGGUGCAGAUGUGGGUGGGUGGGGUUUACGUUUACAGCAUUUUUGUAUUUGUUGUGUGAGUGCAGCAUUAAUUGAUGCAACAUCUCUUUUCCAUUUUGUUAAAUGUGCUUUGAUAAAAUUAUAUUCUUCAGCUAACUAAUUUACAUAACAUGGUGAAGCUUAUCCAGAAAAUCUUUUAUUGGAAAUUAAAUAUGGUAGUUACUGUCUGUCAAAUUAUCUUUUUCUUUGGUGAUGUUGUUUAGUAGCUAUAGAUAUUGUACAUUACCUUCAUCCUUCUGCUAGAAAUUGGAUUUCACCAAACAAACGUUACAAAUUUAAUGCACUUUGAUAUAUUCGCUGUUUUGGAAAUGUUGAGAUUAGACAUUAAUCAUGAUUUGAUUUGAUUUGAUUUGUGGUAGUGAAAACUCAUUUGAAACCAUAAAUGGUUAAAAUGUUUUUGAACUCUGAUACUAGCUCUUUAAUGUCAGUGUGUCAUUUAUUAUUGAUUGAUUGUUUUACUGAAAGAUUGAAGGUAAUAUAGACCGUAUAAAGGGCAACAAUGCCAGAUAUGCUCAGGCUCUGAUGUACCCGUUGCCCCAUAACCCUGAAAAAUUUUAUUUUUGCGCCUUGUACUUUGUCUGGCUUAGCUUUGAUUUGGGAGAUUUUGCCUACAGGUGAAAAUAUAGAGAUGCGUGUUGAUAUUCAAACCGAGCCAGACGACCAAAUUUGCUGACAAACAAGCAAAACAGUACCAUUUUUUGCUGGCUCUCAUUCACAACCGAUAUCAGCCAGCCAAAAAAGGGACUGUUUUGCUUGUUUGUCAGCAAAUUCGAUCAACUGACUCGGUUUGAUUAUCAUUUUCCUAUAAAGGUAGUCUUGAUAAUUGCAGUUUGGUGCAUUGAGUAGUCUUACAUAUUAAAGGUGGUCUGCGAACCCGCUGAUAUGAGUGUUUGAGGAUAAUGAUAAAGGUCUGUCAGUGUCUUGAUGGCGAAGGAGCUGUUUAAGGUUUAAGUUGACUUUUGAGGCUCCCGAAGCUUGUAUAAGUGUCAGGUUGGUUGCAAAGGCUUAUAGGCAUGAAAAGCUAUGUCUUUAAGGUAGUUUUGAGAGUGGUGGCUACUGAAAAUUCAUUGGAAAAUUAGCUAAUAUAUGAACCAACGGAUUAUAUUGUUGUACCAGUUUCUUGAAGUCCAGGAGAUUGAAAUUAGGGUUUUUGCAGGUUUGGUCAAGAAUUGAGGGCUGUUUCUUGAUCAAGGACAAGAGUUUUAUAUAUGGUAGAACGCUAAAGGUGUAAGAUGGUUAAGGAAAGUUUUGUGUAAUCGGUGAAAUAUCUGAACGAAAAGUGGGGGAAGACCUUUGUUGAUAGGAAUCAUAUCCCUAUAUGGUAACUCAAAACCUAAUGGCAGUUUUGUGUAAUUGUUGAAAUGUAUGAACUAAUACUGAUGGAAUACCUACAUUUAUAAGUUUAGGAGAUGAACCUAUAAGAUAGCUCGAAACCUAAUUAAGCGACAAGAGGUAGGGAUAUCGGCUAGUAAUCAUGAUUUUCAUUUUCUCUGUAAUGUAUCAGAAGAUCACUUUCAUCCACAAGAUAGGAUUUGUGCCCCCCUAGUAUAUGCUUUGCCGACAGCUAUGGAUGAGAAGAGAAGUUGCAGAUAGAAUUACUGUUUAACUACAGCAUAAAUUAUGUAGAAGUCUAAACUGCAUUCUGCAUGCAUUGAUAUUUUUCUUUGGGAUAUUAUGUAGUAGCUAUAGAUAUUUUGCAUUACCUUUCAUCUUUGUGCUAGAAAUUGGAUUUCACCGAAUGAAUGCAAUAAGAAAUUAUUGUACUUUGAUAUUCUGUUUUGGAAGGGAUGAGAUUGGACAUUAAUCUUGAUUUGAUAUGUGGUUGUUUUCAAACGGAAGUAGAAUUAACAUGGCUGGACAGUUUAAUACAUGAUCAUGUUAAAGUUAGCCAAUUGCCCUGACUCUUUUAUCCUUCUGCACUUAUGAGUCUAAAGCCAUGUCAUUACUCUACUGGGAUAAAUUAGAUGAGUUUCACUGCUGGGUUUAUUUAUUCAGUACAGGAUCGAGAGUGUUUAGUUACCAGUCAAGCUACAUGCAUACAUAUGGUUUGUGUUUUUUAAAGUGGAGCCUUCUUUGAAGAUAAUGACAGUACAGUCUUCUUUGACUGAAAGGAAUUGCAUGUUCUUCCACAACUUUGGUGUAUGUUAAACUUUCAAUAUCCAUUUAAGAUAACUACAAAAUUAAAGGGGCUGUUUGAAGAGGUACAUAGUACUUGCUAGGAAAGCAUCCAUUUAAACAACAGAUUGAUCAUUUAAGUGACUUUGUCUUCGUUCGAAGUUGCCGUUAGAGCUUAAUCCAACGGUUGUUUAAGAAAUGGUUAAAAGUUGAACUUUGUAUGGGGUUACCGUAUAAUUCUAUAAACAUAUGUCAUUAAUUACAAGCAGAGAUUUCAUUUACAAAGAGCAUUUGAAGUGCGUAUUUUUGAAGAUGGAACCCAUGAAUUUUGGUGAACUAUAAAAGUAUAAAGUGAGUGUAGUUCAAUCUUUUCAACCAAGAUCCAAGAAGAACAGAUCAAUCUUAGAGUUGAGUUUCAAUAGCAAAUUAAAAUGAGCUAAAAUAGAAAGCGGAGAGUAGAAGGGAUAGAAUAUGUGUGUCGCCGUAUGGCUUAAAAAUAGCACUGAAAGCAAACGAUCACAAAUCUAAUAAUAAAAAAAUUAGUUUUCAAAUUAAUUGCAUUGUGUAAAUGUGCUACUUUUGAUGUUUGAUUCCAAAAAGCAAAGAGCUGCAGAGAUAUUAAUAAAAAAUGAAGUGCUGACACAUUUGAGUUUUGGAUUUCAAAUUCAUUGUGCGUUUAUGUAAAUGUGAGACAUUGCAGCUCGAUUCCAAAAUGCAAAGAGAUGCAGAGAUGUUGAAACAUUUGAGUUUUAGGAAAUCAAAAAUUCUAUAUUUAUUUGGGAAAUUUACAAAAAUAACCAUAAAAAUUUUACUGUUUUCACAAUUAAUCCUUUAAACUUUUUUCUAUCAACAUUAGCCAAACACAUGCUUUUCUCCCCAAAUUACCCUUGCUUACAAAUCAAAAGCAACAGUCAUGGGUGAAUCUGGCGACAGGCGUCUGUCGCACCAAACUACGUGCGACAGGCGUCUGUCGCACCAAGCUUUGUGCGACAGGCUGCGUGUCGCACAAAGCUACGUGCGACAGGCUGCCUGUCGCACCACGCCUGUCGCACGAAGCUUGGUGCGACAGGGAUUGUAAACUGAUUAUGGAUUAUGAAGCAAAUUCCAGAAUCAGGGAUCCUGUCUACGGCUGCGCCGGCACGGUUUGCCAUCUGCAGAAACAAGUCAGUGAGCUUCAGGCUGAGUUAGCCAAGGCACAGGCCGGGCUCGCUCCAUGCAAAGCCAGCAACAAAAUUUGAUUGCUUUGAUUUGCAUGGAAAUGGCUCAAUCUCAAGAACAAGUCCUGCAUCGUCAUCAGCAGCAGCAGCCGCAACAGCUGUUCAUUGAUACAAGCUGUUUUUUGGACGAAUACAGUCUUGGCUCUACCUGGGAACCUCUCUGGACAUGAAGAGAAGUUAAAGCAAUAGGAGUGGUUGAAACUUUUGAUUUGAAGUUAAAGCUAAAUAACCAAAUGAUUUGAAUAAAUCUCGUUGAAGAGAAUAGAAGAUAAGAAAGAGGGAAACAUUUUUGCUUUUAUCGGAUUCUGUGCAGAAAGCCCUGCACCAUUCCACCUUCUUUCUUUUUCUUAAAAAUAUAUAUAUAUAUAUAUAUAUAUUUGUUUCUAUAUCUUUCUUAGUUUCUUUCACCUUCGUUCACUCUUUUUCUGGUUUUGCCUUCAAACUCCUGUUCUGCAACUUUCUACACUAGCUCUCCUCAGUAGCUUGUUCUUACGCAGGGAUUGACUUCAAAGGAUGAAGAAUCCUAUUUAUCCAUCCAAAUUCGUUUAAAUUUCGCAAAAUUCAACUCUUGGAUAUGCAAACUUCAGUUACGGGUAAUUCAAGAUGAUAAAUUAUAACCAGCAUAUCAUCAAUAGACCAAAAGCACAUUGAAAUACUAGAUAUCUACAGAAAUUGGAAUUUUUUUUUAAAAAAAAUUAUAAUGCUUUAAUGUAUUUACAAAAAUAAAUUUCUUAUUUUAGUGGAAUCGCUUGUGAAUUAACAUAUCAUUUGCUUGAAAAAAAGACCAUUAGUGCCGCCGACGAUGGGAGUUUCUUCGGUUUGGGAGAGAUGGGUGAAAGAGAGAUUGUUGGGGGAGAGAAGUGAGAGAGGGGUAUUUUGGUCUCAAAAGUUUUUUUAUGGCUAAUGUUGAUAGAAGUUUGUUUGGGGGGUUAAGAUGGAAAAAGCCAAAACUUUUAUGGUUAUUGGUGUAAAUUUCCCUAUUUAUUUGGAUGGAAAUUUAAGACUUUCAUUAUUGAUAUUUUAGUCAUUGUGUAAGUAAUAUGGCAACAAAGGGAAUAAAUACAUAAAAGUUUAGCUCAAAUUGAAAAUAUUCUCAAAAUUUACAUCAAUUUUAAAAAUGGUGAGGGAUGUCUUUGAAAUAAAUAUGAUAAUAUGAUCUUUGUGAUUAAAGUGUUGCAACCUAAACCUCGAAAAUUUCCUUUCUUUUUUGCUUUUUAUAUUGAAUAUUUUUUUUUAAAUGCAAAGGGUGGAUAAAGCCUACAAUUAUUUUUUAACUCCUUACCUCCUCUAAGAGUUAAAUCUAAAUAGCUAAUUAAAUAAAGCGUCUUAAAAAUCAUUAAACCAUACUUUCUGUAUGACUCUUACGGAAUUGUUACUCCUCACUCGGUUGUUCUCUAUCUCUUAAUUGAGCCCCAGUUGAUAAAAAAAAAAAUUACUAAGUUGUUAAUUUACGAGCAUUUUGAUUGCUAUUUUUGCAAUAAAAUCAAACAAUAAUAUAUGUCAAAUGUAAAGCCAUUAUUAUCACAUGGCCGGUCCCAUGGGCCAUGGAGGAGAGAACACAAGGCAAAAGCAAACAAAAGCGAGAAUAAUGGUGCUGGGCUAGAGCGCUGAUAUUUGAAUCAAAUAAUCUAACAGUGGAUAAGAUAGUGUUACACUCAUGUCGAAUUGCAGUGUUAAUUAAAAAAUUAACACUAUUUUUUUUAAUUAUCGUUGUGGCUGCACACAGAUGUGAUAUUGUUUUCGUUGCCAUUGUGUCACUGCUUUAUCGUUUUUCGUUGAACUAUUAAAUUCAAAGUUGAAGCUGAGGUAGGGCCGCCACCUUCUUCAUCCACUUUCGUUUAUCUCUCUUUCAAACGCAUUCUUGAGCGUUCUUCAAAUCUUUAGCUCUCUCUGCCGGAGCUCUCUCUUCGACGGACUUGCUCUUUCUCUGUCCCUUUUUUUCCCUUCCUCCCCCUACUUGUGGUUUUUUGUCCUUCUACUUUUAAAGAUUUUAUAUCCGUAAUUUUUAAAAUCAGUAAUAGUUAGUCGUUAGUAAACUUUUUAUUUAAUCAUGAUGAUGAUGAUGAUAUCAUUAUUAUUAUUAUUUUGAGAGAUGGUGAAAGAAAGUUAUUCAUUUUAGAACUUAACACUGUAUUGAAAAAUAAUGAAAAAAAUAGUUUUUUUUAUUUCUUUUGUUAAAAGUGUAGAAUGAAUUUCACAUUUUUUAAAAUAUUUUUAGAAAUGAUCUACUAACAAAUAUUUGGUGUUUCCUAGAUUUAGAAAAUAGAAAAUAAAAUUUAAAAACAAUACUAAAUGCGCCCUAAGUUUGUUCUCACAAAAAUAAAGGAUUCAAGUAAAAAUUACUGAAGAAAUCAAAAUAUGACGGUGUUGAAGUUUUGUUUGAUCUUUAAUGGCAAAUUUGAUUAGUAUUAUUAUUAUUUUUUAAGCGGCUGGCAUUAGCUUAGUGAAGAAUUUAUUGAAAGGAAAGAAACAAAAAUACAACAAAGUUAAGAGACAUAGUUAGCCUUACCCUUUAAAAAAACAUAUUUAUUCAAGAAACCUAUAAUACAAAACAAGCUUGCCUCUUAUAUUAUAUUAUUAUUAUUAUUAUUAUUAUUAAAUAAUAAUAAUUUAUUGAAUUUUAUUAUUAUUAUUAUUAUUAUUGUUAUUAUUAUUAUUAAAAAUAUAUUAACUUUCUUCUUUUAGUUGUUAUUUAUUAUUUUUAUUAAUAUUAUCAUUAUUGAAAUCUAUUAAUUUUAUUUUUGUAAUCAUCAUCAACAUCAUUAUUAUUGUUAUAAUCAAAAUUUAUUAAUUUUUAUUAUUAUUUAAAAUAUAUUAAUUAUUAUUAAUUAAUGUUAUUAUUAUUUUUAUUAGUAUUAUCAUUAUUAGAGCCUAUUAAUUUAUUAUUUUUAUAUUAGAAAUUAUAUUAAAUUUAUUAUUUUAAUUUUUGUUUAUUAUUUUUAUUAAUAUAUCAUUAUUAAAGUCCAUUAAUUAUUAUUAUUAUUACUAUUAUUAUUAUUAUUAUUAAAGUUUAUUAAUUUUAUUGUUCUAAUUAGUAUUAUUGUCAUUGUUAUUAUUAUUUUUACUAUUAGUAUAAUGUUAUUAUUAUAAUGCAUACAAAUAAUACUGGGGAAAACAAUUACAAAAGACAUUUUAAUUACUUAUAAUAGUUCAUUCUGAUUCAAAGAUAAAAUAAACACAUCAACGGGAAUGUAGUUUUUUCUAAUUUCAGUUCUUACAGCUCAAUUAAACAACUUUUUAUUAUUCCAAUUUCUCAUUCUGAUUUCAACCCAUUCCAAUUCUAGCUCACUUUAAUUUUUAUUUUAUAAAUGCACCUUUAAUUCCCAACCCUCUAUCGGAAAUAAGUUCUCAUUACUUGAUCUUAUAAAAUAAAGACCCCACAUAUUCCAUUCUCAUUCCACUUCAAUGUUAAUAAAUAUCAUCAAUCAUUUUAGUUUUGGAUUCUGAUUCCCCAAUUCCAUAAGUUAACACAUCAUAAAGAUGGAGAAUAUUAAAAAAUAAAAUACGAACCUAACUAAAACGAAAUUUAGGAAGUCCAUUAAGAUCUUGAGAGAUGUAUUUACGAAUAAGAUGGCUCUUGCCGCCAAAAUAUACACUGUACAAUAUAAGCCCGUAUUAGCAAGACAGUCUGUAGGGCUAUUGUUUUCUCCAUGGGUGUGACAGAAUCCAAUAUGCAAGUAAGAAAGAAAAAGUGGGUGGUUAAAGAGUGAAGUACAACAGAGUUAAUCAUUUUUCUUAAACAUGAGGAUGCCCUUGUCCUUUUGGUGAAAUUUUGGAGGGCGCAUAUGUCUUUUUUCAAAUAUUUUAUGGUGUGUAUAUUAAUAAAAUAGGUAUUAAAAAAGAAAUUUUAUGAGUUUAAAUAAUCUCACACUUUUUUAUUAAAAUAACAUGUUCAAAGUAAAUAUUAGAAUGGAAAUAUCCCACUAUUUUUUAUUAUAUUUAAUAAAAAUUACAAAAUUUAACAUCAAAGUGUUAUUUGUUUUUUUUUUAAAAAAAGAGUAAACUCGUCCAAGACCAUGCAAUUCCUUUCCGUCAAAGAAGGCUGUAUCGUCUUUAUCUUCAAAGAAUGCUGAUUUUUCAAAAACACAAGCCAUAUGUAGGGUCAUGCUAUUUUACAUUUGUAACAUACAUCAACAUAAGUCUAUGAUGUAUGUUACACAUAAUGUAACAAAAUCUCUAUUAUCUUAUUUGUAUUUUACGUUUGUAACAUACAUCAACAUAAGUCUAUGAUGUAUGUUACAUAUAAUGUAACAAAGUCUAACAAAGUCUUUGUCUCAUAUGUAAGCAUAUGGCUUAACCGGCAACUAAAUACUUUUGAUCCUCCACUGAAUAUAAAAACUCAGCUGCAAAACACUAAUGAUCCGUUUGGUGGUGAGGUGUUGUGGUUUUUUAUCUAUAGUUACUAUGAGAGAACAUCUAAAUUUACCAAAAAAAGCUUAUAGAUUAUGAUAAAUAGUAAAUUUUGUAUUAGUUUUAUGUUUAACAAUUGUUACAAAAUUAUGAAAUAAAAAAGGGAAAAAAACCAUAGCCGAGUUUAGGAGUUUGCACUCGAGGGCCAAUCUCCGUCUGACCCGAGGAAACCUUUGCACGCCUUUGUUACCUUUUGGGAGGCCUAUGCCCUAUAAAAAUUGUCUACUUGAGACUGUCCCUUGGCCUGUAGGUCUUGACAUAAGGUUAGAAUUCUAGCUCUUCCAGGUGGUAUCUAACUGAUGGCUUAGGCGCCCCCCCCCCCCCCCCAACAUAUUUAAGCAAGCACCCUAGCAGCUGGGUUUUGGGAGUCCAGCUGUUGGAAAACAGAUCCAAACGGGUCCUAAAACUACUCGGAUUUAGAGCAGCAGGGUAAUUAUUGACAUGACUUUAUAAGUGCAGACGGCUACAAGGGUUAGUGCUUUAGCGGGUGAGAAUAAUUAGUGUCUUCAUGUAUGUAUUCGUCCCUCUGGGUGCAGUACUACAUCGGUCUAAAAUAAUCUAGUUUUCACUACCACAAAUCAAACCAAGUUAAUAUCGAAUACUAUCCCCUCCAAAACAGAAUAUCAAAGUGCAUUAAUUUCUUAUUGUGUGUUCAUUUGGUAAUGCAUGAUAUCUAUAGCUACUACAUAAUAUCACCAAAGAACAAGAUUAAUGCAUGCAGAAUGCAGUUUAGUACUUCUACAUAAUUUCUAUUGUAGUUAAACAGUAAAUCUAUCCAGUACAUUUUGAUCUCAUCCACAGCUGUAGGGAAAGUACUAAAUGAAUUUCAUUGUUAACCUCUACAAGGACACAAAUCCUAUUUUAUAGAGGAAAGUGAUCUUCUCAUACAUUAUUGAGAAAAGAACCACGAUUAUUAGCCGAUAUUUCUACUUUCUAGCUUAAUUAGAUUUCGAGCUAUCUUAUAGAUUCACUUCCUAAACCUGUAAAUAGAGAUAUUCUAUAUAUCACCAUUCAUUCAUAAAUUCCACCCAGCCCAUGAACUGACCUUAGGUUUCAAACCAUCAUAUAGGGAAAUGAUUCUUUGACUAGGGUUCACCUCGUGGACCGAUUAAUAAAGUUUUCCAUCAGUACUAUUCAUUCAGACAUUUCACCCAUUACAUAAACCUGUCCUUAACCAUUGUCCACGUAUCGCUAGCCUUCUACCAUAAUUCUCCUGUUCCUGGUCAAGAAACAUCCCUCUUGAUCAAACAUGCAUUAAGAAAUUUUCCAAUGAAUUUUCAGUAGCCUCCAAUUAAACAAGCUUAAAGAUAUAGCUUUUCUGUCUGGAGCCCUCUUCAACCUACCUAAACACUUACCUUAGCCUCUAAUGGCAUGUCUGGUUUAAAAAAAAUAAAUAAAUAAAGGAAAGGAGAGAAGAGAAAAGGAAGACAAAAGGGAAACAAAUAAGAAGAGAAGGGAUGAUUCUAUUUCAAAUCAAGUAAUAAAAUUGAGAUUGACUCCCCUUUUUUUUCUCAUUUUCUCUUCUCUCUCUCCUUCCCAUUCCUCUCCUUUCCUCUCAUUUCUUUCUCUCUCCUUUCAUCUCAUUUCUUUCAAACAAACAUUGUGUAAAGAGACUCAAAAGCCAACUUAAGACUUCCACAGCUCCUUUUCCAUCAAUACACUCACAGACCUAUCCUGGUUGGCAACCCUAAUCACACCUUACAAGCCCUUACCAUUGUCCUCGAACUCUCGUAUUGGUUCGAAGACCACCUUACUAGUACUAAAUCUAAGACUACUCAAAAUCACCGAACUGCAGUUAUCACACCUAACUUUAUAUCUUCACCCUGUAGGCAAAGUCUCCCAAAUCAGUGCCAAGUCAGAUGAAGUACAAGGCGCUAAAAUAAAAUUUUUCAAGGUUGCAAUGUGGCAACCGUUACACAUAGCCGGAACACCUGACUUUGUUGCUCUUUAUACACUGAGAUUGCAGAGUCAGUAAAAAGCAGCAAAAGCAUUUUAACUACUUCGGUCUUAAAUGAGUUUUCACUGCCACAAAUCAAAUCAAAUGAUUAUUAAUGGCUAACAUCAUUCUUUCCAAAACAGAAUGUGAAAGUGCAUUAAAUUUGUACUGUUCCUUUAGUGAGAUCCAAUUUGCACAGUAUCUACAGCUAGUAAUUAAUAUCAUCAUCAAAAGAAAAAAAUAAUAAUUUUACUGACGGUAACAACUACCGUUUAAUCUCACAAACUGUAGAUUACUUUUAUCAAAUCACAUUUGAGUAAAAUCUAAAGAAAUGUUGCAUUGAUUAAUGCUGCAUUUCACAUUUUGAAUCACCAAUCAUGAGGUAUUCACAGAACAAAUAUAAAAAAGUUCUAUUGAAGAAAAUAGCUGGAUUCACAGGCUUUUAUAAUCUCUAACAACAUUACAUUACACAAGUUGUCUAUUUUCAGAAAAAAGUGGGGAAAAAAAAAGCAGCAUCAUAAGGCGAGUUCUUUCAAGCAAAAAGAAGAGCAACACUAGACAAGUUCCCUCAAUAAAAAAGCAAAACCCACACAGACCCUCGACAAAAUUAUUCAAAAGCACUUAUGUCUGUUCAAAACCCAUACAAAUAGGUAGUACACUUGAAGCGUAUAGAAAUAUAUACCUAAUUUAAUUGGCGUCACCACCAGUGAUUUCAUCGUACGCCGUCUUAGCACCUACGACCAAACAAGCUGGCCAUGCUUUAGCCAGAGCUCCUUUAAUCUUUGAGAUCAUUGACUUGGGCUUCUCCGCCGGCUCCGCUUUCUCAAGAGCAACUGUGACGAUAAGGGUCUGAUCCUCCAUCAAAAUCUCGAUCUCACUCCCAGUCACGCCAUCGGGCAACUCGGCACGCUUCUCGAUCUUCCCAUAGUCUUCAAGCAUAGUGUUGAGUACCAUAACCAGGUAACGAUUUUCAACAGCAAUCGCCACAUCAUUUUGGUCAAUCCCGGCCGGAAGAUCGACCACCCUGACCACCAUCACCUUAUUGUCUCCUCCAGGAAACUCAAUGAACAUCUUGGCGUUGAGGAAGCAGAUGAUUUUCCGAUUCUCGAUCACCCAUUCAUAAUUACGAAUGGGCUGAUGCUGAUCGGAUUCAACGAUCUCCGGCGCACCGCCAUCUGGCAACUGGACAUUCACCGAGAUCGAGCCGUUCUUCUCAGUAUUCAGACUAGAAAUUUUGCACCCGCUGCUUUCAGGCAUAUCAGAGACCGUCUUGAGAGCACCGGACCGAUUGGGAUUGCUUGUGCUGGCUUGAAAAGAGAAAGCUGCAGUGGUUUUCCCCUUCAUAGCCUUCACAACCUCAUCGGCCGCGGCGUCUAUGGGGAUGAUAUCAACAGAGCCAGAGGACGUAUUUGCGGCGGCGGCGGCAUCUCUAGUAAAAGCGACAGUGAGGACCCCAUCCUCAAUCGAAGUACUCUUGAAGUUAGACCGCUUCACACCGUCCGGCAAAUCGAAAGUCCUGUAGAAAAUCUGCCUGCUAAUCGUGCCUCCGUCCGUAAUAUUCAGCUCACUGGUUAUCGUAAGCUUCUUAUCGUUAAUAUCAAUUUUGACAUCCUCCAUCUUCGCCGCCGGAAGAGACACCUUGCACACGAUCUUGUCUCCAUCAUACUCCCACGGCGUGCUGAUGUUUGAGGAGUCGAUGAAUUUGCUGGACUUUUUAAUGAACGCGUACCGAUCUUGUUUGAUGCUCAGCGACAUGAUUCAGGAUCGGAUCGAUAAAACCAAAACAAUUUGACUUGAGCUAGACGAAUCGGCGCAACUGUACUACUUUUAUGAUGUCUAAAAACGGUAUUCCCCUGGUCUGAUGAGGUUGGUGUUAAAAACAGCAGCUGUGAAAGGUCAAAGAUGGACCUUGAAGCCAAGCGGGCAUGCCACUUAAGCUACUCUGAUUUGCAGUAGCUGAACCUUAUAGAAGCUUAAUAUGAUUGGUUCAUGAUUACCAUUCUCACGAAUCGAUUUUAAUUUUUUCCAUGUAAUACCCCUAUGCUAGCUGUCAUUGUUUCUUUGUCUUUAUAUAAACUAGAAUGGCUAUGUAUUUCAAUUCAUUCAAGUCAGCAAUAAUAAAAGAGUUCUAGCCAUUACACUCUGCUUGCAUUACUGAAAGCAAUUCUUAACAAAUUAGUAUGCUAAAAUGUUCAAUUAAUUAAAGGCUAUGCCGAUAGCUUUGACAGCCUAAAUCCAGUUGUUAUUUUUGUAGACAUUAUGAACAAAUCAUACAAGGGAGAAACCCAGUGAGAAAAAAAAUAAUUAUAUAUAUAUAUAUAUAUAUAUAUAUACUUGCAUUACUGAAAGCAAUUCUUAACAAUUUAGUAUGCUAAAAUGUUCAAUUAAUUAAAGGCUAUGCCGAUAGCUUUGACAGCCUAAAUCCAGUUGUUAUUUUUGUAGACGUUAUGAACAAAUCAUACAAGGGAGAAACCCAGUGAGAAAAAAAUAAUAUAUAUAAGGGAAAAUAUCCACCGUCCACCUAUUUUUUACACAUUUUUCAAAAAUACACAAUUCCUUCAUUUUUUAGCUGGAAUCCACCUAAAGUUACAUUUUUUUUUACUUUUCCACUUCCGUUUGGAGUCCGUUAAGAAAACUAACGGAAACUUAAUAAAAUGACUAUUUUACCCCCAAAACGAAAAUUACAAUUUCACCUUAAAAUAUACCAAAAAUAAUAAGAUUUAAUGAUGAAUAUCAUUAUUGGUACUUUAAUGAAGUACAAAAAAAUCUUAACUACUAGAGAUUAUAACUCAAUUAAUAAUAAAACUCUACUUAUCUUAAAUUCAAUUGAUGAUUUGUGAGAUUGGGCUAUUUUUAAUACUACUGUUAUAAUUUAGCAUUCUAAUUACAGAUAUAUUUAAAAAAAAAACAUGUAUUUGAUGGUUAUGGAAUUAAUUUAUUUAUUGACCGAUGGGGAAAAUAAUUAGAUUUAAUCUAAUUAUUUUUUGUAAUUUUUAAGGUGAAAUUGUAAUUUUCGUUUUGGGGGUAAAAUGGUCAUUUUUUAAAGUUUCCGUUAGUUUUCUUAACGGAUUCCAAACGGAAGUGGAAAAGUGAAAAAAAAUGUAACUUUGGGUGGAUUCUAGCCAAAAAAUGAAGGAAUUGUGUAUUUUUGAAAAAGGUGUAAAAAAUAGGUGGACGGUGGAUAUUUUCCCUAUAUAUAAUUUGAUUAUAUAUAGUCAAACAUUAAGACACAUCAAAUUUUUUUUGCCCCAAUUGAAAUACAUGUUACAGAAACUUUAAAAUUCACAUUUGUAGUUUCAAAUUGAAAGGGUUUCUAUUGGAGAAAAGAUUGACAUUUGACAUUUUUAUUCAUUUAUGUUUUGGGGACCAUGGGAACUAACUUACAAAUUGUGAAUAAAUAGAAAAGAAAAAAAAAGGAUCCUUUAAUAUAUAUAUUUCAAUAAAUUAGAGUUUUUUUUCUUGUUAGUAUAUUGAAUUCAUUAUUUUUUUUAAAGUAGUAUCUUCACUUUAUUAAAAUAAAAAUAUACCAUUAGAGAAUUAUUCUCUCUCUCUAUUUAUAUGUGCGCAGAAAUUAUGGCAGCUUCUAUUUUUUGCAUUAACCUUGCAGGAAAAUCUACUCCAUCCAAAUUAGUGGAGAGAUGACUAACCUUAUCUAAUUACAUAAUUAAGGGUGGAUUGGCGUCCCAAGCAUGAAGCAUACAUGUGCCCUCAGAGUUUUAGAAAAAAAAGUGCUUUUGGAUGAUGUAUUGGAUGCAAAACCCCAUCAUCGUACUUAUAGUAUCAGUAAUAAAUAAAAUUACAUAAGAAUAGGGAAUACAAAUCCCUUACUCUCUUUUCAAUUACACACACACACACAAAUGAUGGAAUAAUAUAAGAUUUCCUAUAAGAAUUACUUAUUGUAAAAUUAUUGGGUUUAACAUAUUAUUACUAUAAAAGAAGAGGGUAUUCAGGAACUAUGUGAGGUUUACUUUUCAAUUUUGCAUUUUCUCGAAGCCCAAGCCCGUUAACAAUUCAGACUGGGCUAACCGAAAACGACAAUAUUUAUAUGUGUGGGUACAAAUUACGUUACAUAUAAGUUAGUGUUUGCCCGUAAUAAUAAUAAUAAUAAUAAUAUUAGUCUCUCAAACAAAAAAAAUAAUAAAUAAAUAAUAUCAGUAUAUAAAAAAUAAUAAUAAUAAACAAUACCAAUUACCGAACGCGCAUUUCUAUCGCAACAACUUCAUCAGACCACCUGUGUUAGGGGAAUACCCUUUUUCAACACAAUAAAAGUAGUACAGUCGCGCCGAUUCGUCUAGCUCAAGUCAAAUUGUUUUGGUUUUAUCGAUCCGAUCUUGAAUCAUGUCGCUGAGAAUCAACUUAGAUCCGCUCGCGUUCCUUAUAGAGUCCAGCAAAUUCAUCGACUCCUCAAACAUCAGCAUGCGGUGGGAGUAUGAUGGAGGCAAGAUCGUGUGCAAGGCGUCUCUUCCGGCGGUGAGGAUGGAGGAUGUCAAAAUUGAUAUUAACGAUAAGGUGCUUACGCUAACCAGAGAGCUGAAUAUUGCGGACGGAGGCACGAUUCUCAGGCGGUUUUUAAAGGUCUCGAGGAAUUUCGAUUUGCCGGAAGGUGUGAAGCGGUCUAACUUCAAGAGUACUUCGAUGGAGGAUGGGGUCCUCACCGUCACUUUUACUAGAGAUGCCGCCGCCACCGCAAAUACUUCCUCUCGUUCCGUGUAUAAAAAAGUCAUCGCCUUCCUCAACGCCGUGAUUUACUGGGAGACGUCUCUAGACAAGCACGUGUUAAAGGCCUCUCUUCCUCCAGGCAUGAAGAAAGAGGAUGUGAAGAUCGAGAUCGAAGACGAUGGUACGGAACUUAAAAUGAUCGUACUGCUGGAGACUGAGGAGGAAGAAGGAGACACGAUUCCCGAGUGGCUGCUGGAGGAGUUUACAGAUGGCAAGAUCAUUAGGAGGUUCAAGUUGCCAGCGGAUGUGAGGCUGGAUGACUUUAAAACGGCGAUGGAGGAGGAUGGAGUUCUCACUGUUACUUUUACUAAACCCAUCAAGCCCAAGAAAACGCAGCAGCAGCAGCAGAAGCUGAUAUCGAAGUUAUUGGGAUUUCUGGCGAAAGCUGCGGCGGCGCCUUUUGCUAAACUGAAUCAAAAGUCAAAAUUGCUGAGAGUUCUAUCCACGAAAAAGCUGAUCUCCAAGUUGGGAGUUCUGGCUAAGGCAGCGCCUGUUUGUAUCUUGUGUGGCCACGCGAGAUCGAAUUCUGGGAGUUCGAAUAAUUCAAAUUCUCAAAGGUAAAUAUUUUUGGGCUUUUCUUGCUGCCUCUAUCUACAAAAGUAAAAUAAAUGAAAUCAAGCUUUUGCCCACAUAGUAUGGCAAUUUGUCUCAUGGUCUUGUGUCAUCUAUACAAGGUCAUUGGCAUGAUAUUCUAUCGCAGACGUUUGGGUCUUGUUUUUCCGUUUUCUGUGAAAGAACUUGUCUACUGCUACAGAGAACUUUCUAAUUUUGUAUUCGCGUGAUAAAUUUGUAAUCUGUUUUUCAAUCUAUUGACGUGUGACAAACUAUUUGGGUCUUGUUUUCCCUUAAGUUGUUAAUGUUAUAUAGAAACCCCUAAAAUCUAUUAUGCAAUUCAGUUUUGAUAGUUUCUGUUUCAAAUCUAGGUGUGCUAUUAGAUUAGGAUACAGAUCAUAGCAGUUUUGGAAUUCUUUAUUAGGUCUUAAAUAAUUGUAAGAUAAAUAAUUAAAACACUUUAUACUUGUUCUGCCUUAAUGUUCUUCAAUGUGAGAUGUAGCAUUGAUUUUGCUCAAUGUUCUUUUUAAAAGUAGACUUCCGCUAGCUCACUCAGGCCCUAUCUGGUAGUGUGGUUGAGCAGAUGCAGUUUUUAAGUUACAAUACUAAAAGUGUUUGGUAAACAAAAAUUACCCUUAUUUUGAAGCUGGGAUGAUUUCAGGGGCAGUACUAUGAAGAGACAAGCAUGGGCUGUAGCCUCCAUAAGAAAAAUUAUAUGUUUUUUAAAUAAUAAUUAUAUAUUUUUUAAUAUGCUAUAUAUUAAGUUAAAUAAUAAGAUAGUUAAAAAAAUCCUUCAAGUUACUUGUAUUUAACAAAAUACGAACUUAUAUAAAUAUAUCUUUGAAAUGAGCUAAUCUUAAUAGUGAUCCAUGUUUGUCUCUUGUUUCUCUCUUAAUUUCUCAAUUCGGUUUUCUCUUGGUAAUCCCUUAAAAUGUCAAUUCCGAAUUCUCACUUUUCUUAACUUCACGCUUUGAGAAUGUUAGUUUAUUAUUUAGCUUCUUUGUUUAUUUUUCAAUUGAUAGAUUUUAGGUGAUCGAUUGUGAUGAAUGUUGCUUAUAUUUUAUUUCUUAAUUUUUCAGUGUAACUGAUUGGAAACUAACCUCUAUAAACUGUAUUUCUUCACCUUAUAAAUAAAAAUUCAAACAAUUAUUUUUCUUACUUGAUUGUUGAAAAAUUUUAUUGUUCAUUAUGUUUAUCUAUGCGUUCACAUUGAAUUUUUUUGUAAUCUUUCCUUGGCCCUUGUAGCCAAAGUUGGCUUGCUUGGCCUCUGGUUGAUUUGAUCAUAUAGUUGUAUGAUGAAAACUCUAUAAUAUCUUUAUUAUUUUUGUCAAAAUUAUUAUUUGCAAGUCAUAGUUUACAACACACUAAUAACUCUGCAACAGUUUUUUUUUAAUACAACAGUUGAAACCAUUAAGCCACAGGACCUCAAUAUCAAACAAAACCUUAACAUAUUAAAGAAAAUCUUUAAUUGGAAAUUAAACAGUAGCUGUCAGUGAAAAUAAUCUUUUUCGUUGGUGAUAUUUUUUGGUAGCUAAUAUUGUAAAUCACCUUCAUCCUCAAAUUGGAAUUCAAAAUCAACAGUCAGAAAUUACUGUACUUUGAUAUUCUGUUUUGGAAGGGAUGAGCUUAGACAUUAAUCUUGAUUUGAUUUAUGGUAGUGAAAACUCAUUUCAGACAGGAGCUAAAAUUUACUGAUAUUAUUGUUAUUUUUUUCACUGGCUCUGUAAACUCAAUGUAUUAUGUAUUAUUAGUGUUUGACUGUGAUUGUUACAUUAAUGACAAUGACAUGCAUUGGUUUUGUUGGAUACUGAGAAUUUUUUCCUUUGAAACUACUGUAAUAUGCGCGUAAUCAUGCUAUUUCCGAAAUGCAUGCGUCUUUAAAGAGUACUGCUGCAUUCAGUAUAUAAAGUUUAUUGAAAGAAACCAAGCCAAGGAAUAGAGAGGUAUAUAUUAUGACUUGAGGCAAUUCAUUAGUCUUCCUUUGAGAGAAAAAUGGCUAAAGAAACUAGUUUUUUUGAUCUAAACUGAGUUUCUUUUCUUGUCUUUUCUUUUCGUUUUUAAGCAAUAACGUUGGUAUCAAACAGCCAUCAAGGUAAAUACGUGGAAAUGAUAUUUAUGUUCUGCUAAUUCAUUCAGUUCAAUCUUCAAACUCGACUAUCAAAUGCAGUGCCUUACACAUGAGUUUGAGAGUAAAGUUCAACCUUAGCUUUGAGCUUGAGGAUGCUCCUUUUUCUACCAUCUAUCUUUUAAUAGCACUCUUAAAUCUCAAACUCCCAUCUUUUCAGAGCGUCCUCAAACUCUAAGCCAACAUUUCAUACAUGGCUCGCAUACCUCCAAAAGCUGGUUUAGAAAUCACUGGACUCCUUCAUCUAUACUUUCAAGAAUUGAUCGUGUCUUUACUUGUGAAAUUAAAGAAUUAAAAUGAUUGAUGAUGUUUACUUGUUGAAAUAGAAGGGAGAAUGAGAAUGAAAUGUGGGGUUCAUAUAUUUUGGAUUAAGGAACGGAAAUUUGAUAUUGAUGUGGUUGGGAAUCAAGUUCCCAUUCAAUAGAUUGACCCUUUUACCCCAUUCAAUUUUAAAAAUCUACAAAUUGCCCUUAAUUAUAUUUUGUAUUGUGGUUGUUGUUUUCAAUACUUUACAUAAUAUAUAGAAAUAUUGAUAAGUUUUAAAACAUUUGCAAAUAGGUCCUAUUAGUAUCAUCAUCAUCAUUAUUAGUAUUUCAAUAUUUUAUUGCCAUAAUUAUUAAUAUAAGUAUAUUAUUAUUGUUGUUAUAAUUAUUAUUGUUAUUAUUUUCAUUAUUAUUGUUAUUAUUAUAAUAGAAAAUAGUAAUACUAAAUAAUUAACUAAGGAUAUUUUGGUAACUUGGAAGAUUUUAUUUCGAUUUUAGUUCAUUUCAAUUAUAGUUCAUUUUGAUUCUCAAUUGGUAAAUGUACCAUGUGUUCCAACCACACAGCGACUCCAAUGCCUUCCCCUGCAUUAUUUGUCAGGCUAUUGUGUUCAAUCUUUCAAAAUUAUUGAUUUGUUCCUAGUUCAACUCAAUCGAUAUUAUUUAAGAUAUAAGAAAGAAAAGAUUUAUGGUUUAUGGAAAAAGAAGUAUAUAUGAAUACACCCUAAAUGUUGUUCAGAUUAAUUACAUUAAAUUGAUUAAGUGGAUAGUUCUUAAUAGUGAUUCAUAUUAUGUCUAAAUGUUUUUUAAAAUUAUAUUCAACAAUAAAUAUUUAAGGCUUAAUACUAAAGGUGUAUUUGUCUAUAUAAAUUAAAAAAAAAAGGAAAAAUGGAUUUCUUUCCAUGCGAUAUACAUUGCACAAAACAUUGAAAUUCUAUUUCUGUUAUGAAAUAAUUAUAAUUUAUGUGGAUGUUCAUCAAAGCAUUUUUUUAUCUCCUCACAAGCAACUUUUCAUCUCUUAUAACUUCCAUUAUCUCCUUAAUUUAUGGAUUGUUGUCUCUCAUAAUUAUGAUGUAUUACUUACUACUUUAUGGUUGUAUCACUAUAAAAGGAGAUUUUUACUCCUUAUUUGUAUACACUUGGAAGUGUAAAUAACACACAAGAGAUUGAAUAAAAUUUCUCUCUACACACAUUAUGUCUCUUAUUUGCUUUCUUUCUUUCUCUUGCUAUAUGGUUGUGCUCUUAAUUAAUAGAUUUUAUAACACGUUAUCAGCACGAUUCUCUAGUCACAAGAGAUCAAUUUUCAUCAUCUUUAAAAUAUGGUAAUAUCUCUUCUUUAAUCUUACUCAUAAAAGUAUGAAGUAACAAUUUUGAUUUUGCCUAAGAUGAUAUUUACAUUCGCAUAUGUAUUUUGAUAAUCUAGAAUAAUGCAUCAAUGAAUUCAUACUUUUAUAUCAUCAUUACUUUUUUGACAUUUCUUAUUCUAAUAUUCAAUUGAUAUUAUAUAUUUUCCAUUCUUGAAAUUCAAAAAAGUUCAUCCUGAAGUGUGAAUACUAUAAUAUACGAUGAAAGAUUAAGAAUGUAUCCUUGGGGGAUUACAUUGCAUAUAAUGAAGAUUUUCUUUCAAAAUAGGUUCCUGAAGAACUAUUACAAAAUCAUGAUGUCAUUCAUCACCAUCUUGUUUAUGAAGGAUUGACUAUAUAAGUGUAUAUUUUACAUGUCCCUGAAGGACUAUACAAAUAUUAUAAGUUCAUGUAUAUGUCAUGUAAGACUAUAUACAAAUUUUCUUCUCCAUAUCUCCCAGAAGGAGUUACAAAGUGAAUAUAUAUAAAUAAUGCGUAAUUGUUUCUUUGAAAAAAUUUUAAGGAAAAAACAUGACAAUCAAAAGUGUUUGAGUAAUAAGUGAGGUCAUUAAAAAAAAAAUUGUUCGUUUUCGAUUUUAACAUCUUCUUGACUUCGUUGGCUCAUUGUUCAGUUUUCAACUUCUUAGACUUUUAGCAUAGAGUUUUGCAUACUUAUUUUACAUUAGAUAAUUUUCAACAAAUAGUUUGAAAUGAUAAAAUAGAGGAAUGUGUUGUUAGUGGCAUAUGUAUGUACUUGAACUUUUAAAUUGAUCCUUAUGUUUUUAUUGAAUUCUUGAUGAACAUUUUUUAUUAUUGUCUUGAAUUACUAAAGUCUAAUUAAUAUUCACAUGUUUAAGACCAUGAAUAGUACUAAAAUAUUUUUGUGGAAGAAAUCAAUCCUGAAGGAUUGUAAAAGAUUAUGAUUUUCUUUUAUGAUCAUCUCCCUGCAGGAGCUAAAAAUUCAUAUAUAAGCUUGAUGAUAAUUUCAAAGGCUCAAUUAAUUCUCUCAUUUGAAAUUAUAUGGAGAGAAUAAUAUAAAAGGAAACAUAUUAUAGGGCACAUGAUUUUAUAGCACAAAUAUGCUCUUACAGUAGCAAAUUAAGAGUACCAAUAUAAAUUGAUACUAUGUUUUCUUUUGAUAAAAAUAAAAUAUGAGCUUUUGAUUAAAAGAAAAUCAUGACUAAUUCAAAUCCUUAAUGGAUUCCUACUCUUUUGAGAGUAGUAAUGGAUGUCAUGAUUAUCAAAUAACUAUUCAAAAUUAUAAUGGUCAUAGGUCUUAUUGUAAGAAAUCAACAUGUGAAUAUUGUAUCACCAAAAGUGGUCUAAAAUUGAAUUAAUAUUGGAGAUGGACCAGAAUUUCAAUCCAAAAUCUUCAAUAAUUUGACUUAGUAAAGUCUCUAUGCAAGCUUAAUAAUUUUUUUGAAAAUUCUCCUAUGAUUAGGGGGAGUAAAGCGAUAUACACUUGAUAGACAAUAUAAUUUGUUUCACCUUUAUCCAAUUUUAAUCUUUACUUGCGUUAAUUUAUUUGAACCUGAAGUUCAACAAGAUUAUUGUGCAAUGCGCAUUAUUGAUCAAUUAUUGAAUGAAUUUAUUGACAUGUGAAAGUGAAAAAUCACAAACAAAAUAUAAUUGUUGGUUGAUAUGAUGUCCUUGAAGAACAAAAUGGUGGGACAAAAUGGUGAGACAAAUAAAUAUGUGAAUACCUGAAGCAUAUAGUAGAUCAAUCAAUGCAAAUGUUUAAUUCUUGGGAAGUUGUGUUUAAUUCUUGGGAAGUUGAAGUUAAAUAAUUCGGUGCCCCUGAAGAGACCAUGUUUGCAUGUAUAGCAAAAUAUUUUAUCUAUAUUAAAUUAUUGAACAUAUUGCCCUUAGAGGAGCAUAAUGUACCAGCUAGAAGAUUAGUCUCAAAUACCCUUGAAAAGGUAAAUUGUGAGAAAUAAAAAGAGAUUCAUAUUGCCUUAUAAAAGACACGCGUGAAAAUUAAGAAAGAGAGAUUUUUAGCUCUUGCAGAAGCAUAUAUAUUAGAAGUUUCGAAAGAUCUCAUCAGGCAUACAUAUUGCAAAAUAAAAGGUAUUUGAUCAAUAGUAUGUUGGUACUUGGUGCAAGAAAAAAAUUGAAAUUGACAUAAAAUUAUUGUCAGUAAAAGUUUAGUUAUCAUAAUAAAAUAUUCAGGAUCAUGAAUCACAAAAUAAUGAAAGAAUGUCAAUUUAUAUGAUUUGAGAAAAUUUGGACCUGUAGUCCAUAUGCCAGAAGAUGUAUAAUUAAUUAGCAAGACAUAAAGAAUUUUGGAGUUGCAGUUCAUACGCCUGAAGUCGUAAACUUUAUUGAUAAAAUAUGAAUAUGAACUAUAGUGCGUCAAAAAUCAAAUUGAAGAAUCUAUGCACUUAUCCCUGAAGGAUAACUAAAAGUACUAAAUGAAAAAGCUUGCACUUUAUAUGUUCUUGAUAAAGCUAUAAUUAUAGUUGUGUAUAUUAUAGCAAUAUAAACUUACGAAAGUAUAAUCACUUGAGUGAAUUUAUUAUAAGUGAGAUAUGUCAUUAUCCACUUUGCUAUGUAAUUGAAAAUUACAUUUGCAAUCUUUGCACAAUGUGUUGAUGAUUUCAUCAUGAAAAGACUCUUGAAGAUGUUAUGAACUUAUUUAUUUUAAGAAUACAAUUCAAGAUUAAAGAUCUUGCAAUAAAAGAAUUCUCUCAAUUUAUGAAUUGAAGUUUAUGAAAUUGAAUGCUGAUAUUUAGAAAUACUAAAAGUAUUUCAUAUUCAAAAUUAUUCUACUUUAAAAUAUGUUUUAUAUGUUUUGGUCCUGAAGAACCAUACUUUACUCAAAAUUGUGCUUAAAAAGACAUUAGAAAGUUGCAUAAUUGUAAAUUAAAUUAUGCUCGGCAUAUACUUGAAAAUUUCAAAAUAGUGUGAAAAGUAUAUCACACUGUUUCCAUGAUAUGGAUGCAAAACCUUUGUUUUUUUUUUAAGAAGAUCAACAAGAUUAUGAAGAUAUAUGCAUGGCAAUAUUCUUCAAAUUCAAGAUGAUUGUAUCUAUAAUUUAUUACAUAUUUUCAAGCUUCGAAAGGAUGGUGUUGAUCUUGCAGAUUAUUUCACCAAAAUAUUGCUAAUUACAACAAAUUAUGAUUGAUCUUUGAAGCAUCCAUGUCAUUUUGAGGGGGAGCAUAUUUAUAUGGAGGACUACAUGCACUGUACUCUUUUUCCUUCACUAGGCUUUUGUCCCAUUGGGUUUUUCCUAGUAAGGUUUUAAUGAGGCAGUUUGCACCUCCAUAAAAUACAAAUGAAUAAUGUAAUCUUUUUCUUUUGCUUGUUUUUUUUUCCUAUAGGGUUUUUACUAACAAAGGUUUUAAUGAGGCAUAUUCUUUAUAAGAUGAACAUUCAGGGGGAGUGUUAUGAAAUAAUUAUAAUUUACAUGAAUGUUCAUCAAAGCAUUCUUUUAUCUCCACACAAGCAACUUUUCAUCUCUUAUAACUCCCGUUAUCUCCUUAAUUUAAGGAUUGUUGUCUCUCAUAAUUAUGAUGUAUUACUUACUACUUUAUGGUUGUAUAACUAUAAAAGGAGAUUUUUACUCCUUAUUUGUCUACACUUAGAAGUGUAAAUAACACACAAGAGAUUGAAUAAAUUUUUUCUCUACGCACAUUAUGUCUCUUAUUUGCUUUCUUUCUUUCUUUCUCUUGCUAUAUGAUUGUGCUCUUAAUUAAUAGAUUUUAUAAAAAUUUCCUUUUUCCCAUCUUUUCUUCCGUCUAAUUUUCUCCUCUCAUUCCUUUCCUCUCUCAAUUCAUUUCUUUUUUCUCUUUUGUUCAAACCCUUGAAAACAAACAUCUAAGCAAGGAACCUCGUGAAUCGUUUUCGGUUAGCCCAGCACUAAGUUGUUAACGGGCUUGGGCUUAAAAAAAAUUCAAAUUUUUUUAACUAUAAAAAAAAUCAAAUUUGAAAAGGAAACCCCCACAUAGUUCCUGGAUACCCUCUAUUUUUAUAUUAAUAAUAUGUUAAACCCAGUAAUUUUACAAUAAGUAAUUCUUAUAGGAAAUCUUAUAUUAUUCCAUCAUUUGUGUGUGUGUGUAAUUGAAAAGAGAGUAAGGGAUUUGUAUUCCCUAUUCUUAUGUAAUUUUAUUUAGUACUGAUACUAUAAAUACGAUGAUGGGGUUUUGCGUCCAAUACAUCAUCCAAAAGCACUUUUUUUCUAAAAUUCUGAGGGCACAUGUAUGCUUCAUGCUUGGGACGCCAAUCCACCCUUAAUUAUGUAAUUAGAUAAGGUUAGCCAUCUCUCCACUAAUUUGGAUGGAGUAGAUUUUCCUGCAAGGUUAACUCAAAAAAUAGAAGCUGCCAUAAUUUCGGCGCGCAUAUAAAUAGAGAGAGAGAAUAAUUCUCUAAUAAUAUAUUUUUAUUUUAAUAAAGUGAAGAUAUUACUUAAAAAAAUAAUAAAUUCAAUACACUAACAAAUAAAAAAAACUCUAAUUUAUUAAAAUAUAUAUUUUUUAAUAUUUUAAUGACAUUUAUCCUCAUUAAUAAAUGAUUAUACAUGUGCGCAGACACUUUCUAACACUCUAUUGUUUAUGUAAUCUGUAUAUUACUUUCAAAUUCUUUCAGCAAUUUUUUUUUUUUAUCUUAUCAAAGCAUCAAUUGAUCAUUACUUCCAAUCAUGUAAAAGUAUCUAUAUACUCUACACACACACACACACAAUCACAAAUACACACAAAGGCAAAUUAGACUGGUCGUUAGAUGUGCUUUUCCAAUUUAAAAUUAUUUUGUUAAAUAAAUUAUGUUCAAAUUAAUUUGUAGCUUUCUUCAGUAAGGCAUUCUCUAUUAUCGUUUUUAAGAUAUUAAUAAUAUAUAUCGGUAAUGGUACAGAUUGUUAACUUAUAUAAUAAUCCAUACAUGUGAUUUCCAAGCAACCAUAAAAGAUAUGGAGGCAGAUAUGGCGCGGGGUGCCCCAAUAACGGGAUUUCUAUGGUUAGUGUCUCACUUCACACGUCCCCUUGUGUCUUCAUAAGGACACAUUAAUUAUUUUUUAUAUAUAAAUAAUUUCAUUUUUGAAGUUUGUAAUAAUGAUAAUAAGUGAUUUAGUUUGCAAAACACGAUACUUCAUAUUACUUUAAAGAAGAAAAACGUGCGUUGUUUGCCUUUGCUGACAAUUGUAUACCUUAAAAGUGUUGGAAAAUUUCAAAAUAAUUGUGUCUUAUGGUAAAGACAUGUCCUAUUAAUUGUGCCUUAUAGAAAAGGUACCUUUCACUAAAGAAUUGUCUAAUUAAAUGAUGUCUUGUUGUAAGGACAUGUCCAUUUAAUUGUGUCUUGUAGAAAAGGUAUCCUUUUACUAAAUGAUAUAACUUUUCAUGGCAACAUUUCACUUAGAGAUGCAUCAUUUCAUGGUGACAUUUCAUUUGAAAUGGUGAUGGUUCAAUUUAGACCAUUGAUUAAAAUCAAAUCUAGAUCCAAUGGCCAUGAAUGAAGGGGUAUCAUGAAAGAUGAUAACCCAAAUGAGGGGGCACAAGUAUAUCUAUAAAUAGGGGUCAUGUUUAAGCCAUUUAGACAUGAAAUGAAUGAUCCUACACCACUCUUUUCUUAGCAUUCCUUUCUAGUACGAAUCUCAACACAAAACACCCAUUCCAUUUGUGCAUUCACAUUCCAAUAUAUUGUUUUCUGCAGGAACAAUAUAUUGUUUCUUGGUAGGCUUGCAACAUUCAAGAGUAUUCUAGUUUGCUUUCGUCGAUGCACAACGCAAGCAAACAAACAAGUGCUUCAUUGUAUCCUGGAGGCGUAUUUGCUUAACCCAUGUGCAUCACUCAAUUGGUGGGGGCAAAUAACGUCUUAAGGAAAGCGACAUUUGUAACGUGCCUUGAAGCACACAAAAUUUCUGCAGUUUCUUCCUACAUACAGAGUUAGUUGUAAACACAUUAUUUUACAUAAUAAAGUUCCACCAUUAUUAUUGUAUUUCUCUACAUUUGUCAUUCCCCACAAAAUUUACCACCAACAAAAAGUGGGUAAAUAUUUAUUUAAUUCUUUUAUUUUAAAUUAAGUGCUUGUUUAAUUUUUAUAUUUUGAAAAAUAUUUUAAAAUAUCUUUAUUGCUAAAUAUGCAGCACUCUUUUUCUUAUUUUCUCUCCCUUUGUAAUAAUACUUAUAUUACAAUUUUUAGGACAUUAAUUAAUUUAUUCAUAAAAAAGUUAAAUAGAAAAUUAAUAAAUUUUUAUUUUACUAAAAGUGUUAGUUUGAUGAAUUAAUUUUUUUUUGUUCAUAUCCUUAAGAAUAUUAUUGUAAGAAUAUUAUAGUAAAAGAAAAAAAAAAGAGAGGCCAAAAGUGUCACAUAUUUCAAAAUAUAAUUUAAGGCUUUUUCUAUUUUGAUCUCUAGAACUUCAGGCGCAGCGAGAACUUCUCCUUCAUGGCAUCCACUUCAUCUUCCCCUCCUGUUACUCUUUCUUCUACUCUUUCUUUGCCCCGCUCUUGCACUUCUCAUACUACUAAUAAGAUUGAAAACCUUGUCGAAUAUUCCUAUAUCCCUGAAUCCGCCCAAAUCAGUGAGUCCUCCUACCCUCUUAUCAGCCCUUAUCAGUUGUACAAACGACCUAGCUCCUUUACCUGCAGUAUCCGCACCCUUAUCUCUACCAGACGCCCUCACCCUAAAGAAUAUAUCCAGUCUUCUCGCCUGGAUCAGUGUGCUCUUCAAGCCACCUCUGCUGAGCAAUAUGUCACUCUUGACAUACCCUCCGAAUUGAUUUCCAACUGGAAACGCGAAGGUUUUACCCAUCUCCAUCUUGGAGGCAUCAGAUUAAUCCUUACCCUUUAUGGGAGAAAAGGAUUACCGGUUAUCGCUCGACUUGCUAUGCUUGAUACCCGGUUUAAACAGUACCAAGAUGCUGUCAUCGGUACUGUCCUCACAACCCUUCAUGCAGGCAGUGUUUUACUCACUUUCUACCCAAACUUUAACCUUUCUCUCCAAGACCCAAAUUUUCCCACAACCUUGAAAGUCCAGGUUUAGAUUCAAGGUGCUGAACAAAUUUCUUCUGCAAAAAUUGCCACUUUACACCACCAACUGGUCUACAGGCUUCAAAAUCACGCCUUAGAUCUACCCGCUCCAGAACACCACUCUGACACCCUCAUGGUGCUAGCAGAAUCUGACCAGAUCCCGACAAUCAUCCAGAUUCCACGACAAAUUCCCCGCCAUGAGCUCAUCAAGCUUAUGCCUCUUGAAUGGAUCUCCAACUAUGAACAGUUCCAUAACAAUACAGCUCCAAUUCAGACCUCUGAAAGCAUGUUUGAACGACGACAAGAUGGAACCGUCAGAAUGAAUUUUAAACCACCUCCCAGUGCUCCACAAGAGCCUCCUCGGCUCUCUUUUACCUAUUCUUCAAUGAUCACAGCUGUUCAGACAGCGCAGGAAGAUCUGCCCAUUACAGGGUUUAAUUCUCAAGGCUACCCUGUUUAUCCAGCCAAGCACAAUGGCCAUUUCCUAUGGGAUGCCCCUGGUUCCGGCAUGUGUGACCCAAAUUGUCCCUGCUGGGAUGAUUGGGAAGAAGACGAUGAUUAUGCAACCACAAGGAAAAAGAAACCCAAAAAGAAAAAACCUCUUGUCCCAUGUCACCAUUGUGACCCUAAACCACCAUCAGAUCCUCCACCUCCACCGGCUCCAUUACCCAUCUACCGAAAAGAACUCAAAUGGAUUGCCAAACAUUGCAACUCUGAGAUUCCAUCACCACUCUCACACCCAACACCUAUCGUCCAACCACUGGCUUGUAUGAUGUUUUCCUCUACUUCUUCAGAUUACUCUUCUUCCUUUCCUCCUUUGGAACCCCAUACAGAUUCUCAACGAAAUGUUAUGUCCAAACCCUUUAUCCCUUCAUCUAUUACAUCCACUGGCCACCUGGAGCCCCUUAAACCUUUUGAAUCAGUCCUCAACUGGCAAACUCAAAAUGCCAGGGCCAUUAAACAUGUUUUUACAAGAUGACAAAUUCCUUUUACCUCGCCGACAAAGCAUGUUCACUUUUCUAAAAAAUGCCCAGAUCUUUUCAAAAUUUGAUUUAAAAUCUGGUUUUUGGCAACUAGGCAUUGAACCCUCCGAACGUUACAAAACCGCUUUUUGUAUUCCCAAUGCCCAUUUCCAAUGGACCAUCCUACCCUUUGGUCUCAAAACUGCCCCCUCCAUUUUCCAAAAAUCCAUGGUCCAAAUCUUCCAGCCCAUUUUACAUCAUGCAUUGAUUUACAUUGAUGAUAUCUUGCUUUUUUCAGGAUCACAUGAUAACCAUCGCCAGCUGUUAACUCAAUUCUAUGAUAUUAUCCAAAGUCAUGGAAUCAUGUUAUCGGCCAAGAAAAGCACCAUUGCUACAGAUAAUAUUGAAUUCCUUGGUAUGAUCAUCAAAGAUGGACAUUACCAGCCCGGAAAGCACAUUGCCCAAGAAUUGCUUCACUUUCCAGAUCAGCAACUUUCCAAAAGGCAAAUCCAACAGUUUCUCGGCAUUAUCAAUUACAUCCGUGAUUUCCUCCCACAUGUGGACCAUCACACUCAUCAUCUCUCGGCUUUAUUGAAAAAGCAGCCCCCAUAGUGGAAUGCUGCCCACACAGCUGCUGUCACUACCCUAAAACAGAUCGCGCAAAAUCCGCCUCCUUUAAAGUUGAUUACUGACGGAAAGCGUAUAUUGCAGACAGAUGCCAGUGAUGAAUCAUGGGGUGCCAUCCUCCUCGAAGAACUCAAUGACAAGGAACACUUUAUCGCUUACGCUAGUGGACAUUUUUCUGAAACACAGAAGCACUACCAUAGUGUGUUUAAAGAAAUCUUAGCGGUAAAGAAUGACAUCAAAAAGUUUGAGUAUCAUCUGAUUGGACACCAUUUUCUCAUCCGAAUGGACAGCUCAGCCUUCCCCAAUAUCUUUCAUUUCAAAGGUAAAACUGUUUCCGAAAAAAUGUUACUCAGAUUAAAAGAUUGGUUUUCCAAAUAUGACUUUUCAGUCAAGCAUAUAAAGGGAUCCCAGAACCUCAUCCCUGAUAUGCUCUCCAGACUCUCCAAACCACAAAACCCUCUCACCCUGUUUUCCACCACCUACCAUUUUCCAAUUAUCUCCAUGGCUACCUCACUACCCCCAGAAGCUCUCACCAAGAAAACUUUUCCCUUCAACAAAACCUUCUCUUCUGUUUUCGCCAUCCAAGAAUUUGCUAGAAAAGCUCUCUUUCGCUUUUUCAUGAAAGCCUACCUUGUCACCGACCCUUUUCCUUUUUCCUCUUUCCACCCAGAAAAUCUGUUCCUUACAGGUUUAACCCUUGAUCCGACCAGAGACACCACUGAAGACGUAUUAUGGUACAUCUGGUGCCUAACAGUUCUUUAUGCAACCAAGUUAGUCCUUCCCAUUUCUCCCACUCUGGACCACCUCCUUAAUCCAGAUAACGCCACCUCUCUUACCUGGACCCUACUUGAAUGGUUCUCCCCCAUCCCAUGGUGGAGAAAGAAACUGCAACAACUGUCCGAAAUUUACAACCUUGACCGUAUGCCUGCCCCUGAAGCACAAAUGUUCACAUCCGUUUUUAUUAUUCACAGGCCAUACUUCCAACAUCCAGACACCCAUCUCUUUUGGACUCAAGAUCAGGUAUAUGAAUGGUUCACUGCCCCACAUAUAGCUGUGAUUGAAAAUGACAUACAAGAAGUCCUGCACAAUUACCUUUGCCAAUUAAACCACCAACCUCCGCCACUUAAAGAUAUCUCUCACACCUCCUUAGGUCCACAACAUGACCUUCUCAUGAUACCCACUCCAUCUGCCAUAUCUAAACCUAAGUCCACUGGCAUCAUCAUCAAAGAAGAACGACCAGAUUACACUGACUUCCUUUACCAAGACUCUCAAGACCCAUGGGAAGACUUUCUUCUUCUAAGCCAACACCUCCACCAGUUUCCCUAACCAACAAUGGAUGAACCUGGCCCCUCUGAACAAGGACCCUCAACCCAAUCUUCCAAACGACUAGCUCAAUCAUCCAAAGUUGACAAAGCCACCCAAACGUCCCCUAAGUAUACUCCGAAGUGUACUCCCAGAGCCUAUAAUUGCCCUUAUCCACCAUGCCGAGGUCCCUCAUGUAAGCAUCCAAAGCUCUCCAAAACUUUCUUCCAAAAGCAUCCUCACUCUGGUGAUACGGACCCCGAUGAGACCGAAAGCUCAUCCGAAGACGAGUACAUGAAUCUCCGCUCUCCAUAAAGUUGUUUGUCGUGUUGCUUUCAAUAAAGUAGUUUGUCUUGUUGUAAUAAUUACGUUUUACUUUAUGGUUUUGUCUUGGCUUGCCUUACGCUUUGGCUUUUUCCACUUGUAAAAGUCUUUGUAAGCAUGCUUUAUCUUUUGUCCAUUUGUCAAAGUCUUGAUCGGUGGGCUUGGCUUUCUAAAAAGGUGUGCUAUAGGUCAUAAUCUAUGUUGUCGUAUCUUAAGAAGAUAGGGGUCAUGUCCUAUCUUCCCCGAGAAUUCUCCCCUCCUUUGUAAGAUAUAGAAGUAAAAAACAAGAAAUAAACUCGUGUUUUUCUCUUACAACAUGAAUCCCUAAAACUCUUCUCUCUCCCUGCAAAUGAAGUUCUAAGAAAGAAAAAGAAUAAAGGAUUAAAUUUGUUCAUUUUGAAAACCUAAGGAAGUAUGCUCUGCACUUGCCUUCUCGUAAGGAUCCUGUGCAUCAGAAAACUUUUGAUCAUUUCUUAUCUGGUUUGGUACCCUGUUUUAGACUAAAGAGAAGUCUGUUUUGGGUUGUAUAACCUGAGAAAAAAUGUUUUAAAGGUUUUUUAUUACAGAGGUAUAUCGGCUGGAAACCCGAGCUUGCGGACUACUGGUCCAAAGUACAGUUUUAACUGUUGUAGUUCUGGUAUAACAAUGCCACGUACACUUAUAUAACCUAGAAGAAACUGUUUUAAGUUUUGAUAUAUCCAAAGGUAUAUCGGCGGGAAUCCAUCGACGUAAGUUCCAGAGGUGAUCCCGAAUGGGCACUAGUCUGGUCCGCACUGAUGGUAACAAGCCACGUAUCUUGAUGGUAACAAGCCACGUAUCUUUAUGGUAUCAGAGCCAUACCCAUCCUUGAAAAUUCCAUGUUUUCUAAAUUCGUAUCUUCUUGACCAAAAUGGUAUAAUUUAAGGCUUUUUCUAUUUUGAUCUCUAGAACUUCAGGCGCAGCGAGAACUUCUCCUUCAUGGCAUCCACUUCAUCUUCCCCUCCUGUUACUCUUUCUUCUACUCUUUCUUUGCCCCGCUCUUGCACUUCUCAUACUACCAAUAAGAUUGAAAACCUUGUCGAAUAUUCCUAUAUCCCUGAAUCCGCCCAAAUCAGUGAGUCCUCCUACCCUCUUAUCAGCCCUUAUCAGUUGUACAAACGACCUAGCUCCUUUACCCGCAGUAUCCGCACCCUUAUCUCUACCAGACGCCCUCACCUUAAAGAAUAUAUCCAGUCUUCUCGCCUGGAUCAGUGUGCUCUUCAAGCCACCUCUGCUGAGCAAUAUGUCACUCUUGACAUACCCUCCGAAUUGAUUUCCAACUGGAAACGCGAAGGUUUUACCCAUCUCCAUCUUGGAGGCAUCAGAUUAAUCCUUACCCUUCAUGGGAGAAAAGGAUUACCGGUUACCGCUCGACUUGCUAUGCUUGAUACCCGGUUUAAACAGUACCAAGAUGCUGUCAUCGGUACUGUCCUCACAACCCUUCAUGAAGGCAGUGUUUUACUCACUUUCUACCCAAACUUUAACCUUUCUCUCCAAGACCCAAAUUUGCCCACAACCUUGAAAGUCCAGGUUCAGAUUCAAGGUGCUGAACAAAUUUCUUCUGCAAAAAUUGCCACUUUACACCACCAACUGGUCUACAGGCUUCAAAAUCACGCCUUAGAUCUACCCGCUCCAGAACACCACUCUGACACCCUCAUGGUGCUAGCAGAAUCUGACCAGAUCCCGACAAUCAUCCAGAUUCCACGACAAAUUCCCCGCCAUGAGCUCAUCAAGCUUAUGCCUCUUGAAUGGAUCUCCAACUAUGAACAGUUCCAUAACAAUACAGCUCCAAUUCAGACCUCUGAAAGCAUGUUUGAACGACGACAAGAUGGAACCGUCAGAAUGACUUUUAAACCACCUCCCAGUGCUCCACAAGAGCCUCCUCGGCUCUCUUUUACCUAUUCUUCAAUGAUCACAGCUGUUCAGACAGCGCAGGAAGAUCUGCCCAUUACAGGGUUUAAUUCUCAAGGCUACCCUGUUUAUCCAGCCAAGCACAAUGGCCAUUUCCUAUGGGAUGCCCCUGGUUCCGGCAUGUGUGACCCAAAUUGUCCCUGCUGGGAUGAUUGGGAAGAAGACGAUGAUUAUGCAACCACAAGGAAAAAGAAACCCAAAAAGAAAAAACCUCUUGUCCCAUGUCACCACUGUGACCCUAAACCACCAUCAGAUCCUCCACCUCCACCGGCUCCAUUACCCAUCUACCGAAAAGAACUCAAAUGGAUUGUCAAACAUUGCAACUCUGAGAUUCCAUCACCACUCUCACACCCAACACCUAUCGUCCAACCACUGGCUUGUAUGAUGUUUUCCUCUACGUCUUCAGAUUACUCUUCUUCCUUUCCUCCUUUGGAACCCCAUACAGAUUCUCAACGAAAUGUUGUGUCCAAACCCUUUAUCCCUUCAUCUAUUACAUCCACUGGCCACCUGGAGCCCCCUAAACCUUUUGAAUCAGUCCUCAACUGGCAAACUCAAAAUGCCAGGGCCCAAAAUGAUACCUUAUCGCAUCUCAAUUCAAAAGUUGAGAACAUCAGUUUGCGAACUGAACAGAUUGAGACAAAAGUUGAUUCCAUCACUGCACAGAUGCAGCAGAUCCACCAAAAUCUUCACUCCCGAAUUGGCCAACUCGAUUCAGAGUUACGAGCCAUGCUCGCCCACAGAUACAAUGGUCCCGAAUUUGACCAAAAAGAAAGGGAAAUCAGGCGAUUAAAAGCUGAACUUGCUCAGAUUGAAUCUGAAAAACAGAGACCUACCCUUUUCACCACUUCACCUCCUAUCCCUUCUAUCGGUCCAACUUAUCAUCCUUUUGCCUCUAUGCUCUCUCCUAUUAAACAAUAUGACCCUUCCAAGUUAUUUGGCAUGACUCAUACUCUUUUCAGAGACAAUCCUUUGCCACCGCCACCUAAACCUAAACCCAAACCUAGACCGCAGCCUCGACCUCCCCCUCUUCAUCCUUCCUCUAUGACCAUCCCUGGCCAACCAUCUCCUACUUUUACACCGACAUCACCACCAGCUCCUUUAUCAGUCCCUGCCCCAUCAAAAGAUAAAGAACCCUUGAACCAAUUUACUGCUCACACAGUCAGCCAUUCAUCUACAAACGAUCAAACUUCUGAUUCAAAUCUAGCUGUUUCAGAUAGCCAUACCGAAACCGACUCAGAAUCUUCAGCAUCCACCAGUGACUUUGAAAAGUCCUAUGCUGAUAUUACCAAAAUCCUGAUGGCUCAACCUGAUCAAGGCCAAACAUCUCAUACAGAACCAUAUGUUGAUAUUCCCUCCGAAGUUGAAGAAGAAAUGCCUGAAUCCUCUGCCACAAACCAACCUUCUCCAGCCCAGCCCAAUCCACCCAGUCACAAAUCGUCAAAUGGUCCAUGGUUCACAUUUGAUGAUCUUCCAUCUCAUAAAUGGCGUGACCGACUCAAUGAAAUGUCUGCCUAGAUUGACCUACAGAUGCUAAGAACAGGAGCAACAACUCAAUCGGUCCUUAGAGAAUUUGCUACUCGUUUUACGGGUGCUUUAAGAGAUUGGUUUGAUUCGUUAGGACAAUAUCGCCAGUUACAGUUUGUUGACCUUCCAGAAGUUUCAAGUGCUCUUGCUGUACUUCAUGAUCAAUUCCUUGGCGAUCCUUCUGCAGUCUUUGAAGCUGCCAGACGAGACUACCUCAACAUGAAAUGCUGCUCCCUCAAUGCUAAGGAUCUUGACUUCCAUUAUAAGCGAAUGUCCCUGCUGUUCUAUAAGCUUAAUGGAUUCAAUGAGCCGACAUUAAAGCAUGUCUUUCUGGCUUCUCUCCCCGAAGAACUCCAACCUGACAUCCAGAGACAACUUACAGCAUCCAAUCUUUCCCUAGACAACAUCUCCCUUGGCAAAAUCUUCCAGCUUGCCAAAACCUGUCUUGACAAACUUUGCGAGCAAAAACAGUUUUUCAAAGAACUGUUGAAAGACAAAUAACCUUUCCGCAGUGCUUGCAAAAAGCCUUAUUUGCAGAUCAAAUGCCACAAGAAAAAGGAUUGUGAUUGCAGUUCUAAGAAAAAACGGUAUUUUCGAAAAUUCAAAACUCCAGAAUUUUUAUCCAAACCUCGCAGAUCCCGAAAGCCCUACCGGUUCUUCAGAAAGAAAUCUUCCUCCUCUAGAGAAUUCAAACGAAAGCAAUCAAGCAGAUGUUUCAUCUGCAAGAGAAAAGGCCACUAUGCCAAAGAUUGCCCCAACAAAAGAGAAAAAUCCAUCCGGUUGGUUGAGCAUCUUCAAGCAACUACAGACUACUCUCCUGCCAAAGAUGAAUUGGAAUUCUAUUUCUCUGAACAAGAUGAACCCAACGAUGAAACAGUGUUCGCACUACAAAAUUCCUCUGACUCAGAUAGUGACCAGCCUCAAGUAAUUUUCCACCAACAGUUACUCUCCCUUGAUACUACAGUUCCUAUCCCAUCCAUCAAACUCCAGAUCUUGCCCUCAAAAUUCCACAGGCCCAUUCCAGCAAUUGGUCUUAUAGAUACUGGUGCCCAACGAAGCAUGUUGAACCCCCAUAUUCUUCCACCAGAAUAUUGGACCCAGUCUGAAGAACAUUUCAAAGCUGUCAAUGGCAAACUCUUCACCACCUCUUUGAUUACCAGAAAAUCCAUUGGUAUUCAAAUCUUCCCAAAUUGUGUCAUUUGGACCAAGGUUAUUGGUUCCACUCUUCCUAAUAAGGAUAUCUUAUUAGGAUUUGACAUCCUUCACCAAAUCAAACACCUCCAAAUCAUUCCCACUGGAAUCCGAGUCCAGUCCAUGUUCAAACCAUUCACAGACAUUCUGAAACUCUACAAUUUGUCUGAAACUCCCCAGUCUUACCAGGAUAUUUCAACCAAACUUUUGAGUUUCUGUCCAGAGUCUCAUUCUGAGUUCACCCAUCCAAAUCCCUUGUGGAAAAAUAAGUCUUUCUUUAUUAAGUUACCCUUCAAACUCAAUGAAGACAUUAACCCAACUAAGGCUACCCAUCCAGGAAUGAGUCCUUCUGACUUACUCCUAGCCCAACAAGAAUAUUCACAAUUGUUAGCCCAAGGUUUAAUUGAGCCCACAAGUUCCCAAUGGGCUUGCCAAGCCUUUUAUGUUGAAAGCAUUCUGAAAUUGUCCGAGGAAAGAAACGCCUAGUUGUUGUGCAAAUUUUAAUGUACUCGCAAGCGCACGAAUCUAUUGUAGUAUAGACUAAUGGUGACGAGUGUCGAUCCCACGAGGAGGUUGAUUUUAAUUAUGUGUAUAGAAUUAAUUUUGUGAAUGGGCGAUUGGAUUUAUGGUGGAAAUGAUUUGGAAUAUGCUAAGACUUAAAUUAAAAUGGCGAGAAUAAAUUCUAAAAUUGGAAUUGCAAUGGAAAGAAUAAAUUGAAGAGAAAAUCUAUUAAAUUGACGUACUUGGGUAUCUGGAUCCGUAUCAACAUGCAUCAUGGGCUAAAUAAUCCGUAUUAAUGCCAAUUAAAUCAUGAGGGGGAAUCCAUACCUCAUGAACCACGCUCUAAUCAAUAUGGUGCUAAGGGCUUAUCGUGCCAAAUAAUAAUAACCUUAUACUAGAGAGCCGGUGUAACCAAGGCGGUAUCUAGACAAGACUAUUAUUAUUUGUCGACGAGAAGUCAAAACAUCCACAAAAACUAGAGGAGAAGAGAAAAUAAAUUUACCAAAUUAAGCCCAUGACACAUGUUGAGACUUCACCUUCAACCCAAGCUUGAAAGAAAAUUAGCCACUCAUAAUUGAACUAGGGGCAAAAUGGGAAUUUAUUAAAAUACGAAGAAAAUACAAGAUGGAGAGGGAAUUACAGAAAACAGAGUCCAAAAAUGGAUUCAGAGAUAUCAAAUUAGGGGAGGGAGGCCCCCUUUUUAUAGAUACAUGGAGUAAAUCAUGGCCAUCGGAUUAAAAACAGUUUGGACGCUCAGGAUUGCGCCACGUCAUCAGUCAACAGUCCACGGUUUGACCACGCGGAUGAACAGUAACACGGUUUGACUCGGAUGAACAGUAACGCGGUUUGACUCGGAUGAUAUCCUGUGUGAUGCAUGUACCGUACGCGAGAUUUUUCAUCCACUGAUAUGCUGCCACGUCACCAUCAACAGUACAUAAGAAUUUUAGCCCAACAGGAUCGUGACACCUCAUCAGUCAAUGCCACAUCAUCGGUCAAUGCCACGUCAUCGAUCCGUCUAUGUGAACAGUGUUGUGAACAGUAACGUAAUUAGUACCGUACACGUGAAUAGUACCGUACAUAUGAAUAGUGCCAUUUUUCCUUUUAUGCUCCUCCUAAGGUUUUCGACUGUCCUGAGUUCAAAAGUGAUGUCCGUUUUGCCGUCUGAUCUCUCCUUUAUUGUGAAAUGACUAUAAUGCCCCUAAAAUACAUAAAAUACUUAAUUAAAAUAAAACACAUGUAAUUAAAUCACAAGAAGGUUAAAUACAUAAAAGUAAGGGUUGUUAGUAAGACUUGAAAUGUAAAAUGACGGUUUUCUCCUUUAUAAAUAUGCAUUUUCUAACACUCAACACACCCCCCAACCAGCUUAUUGCUAGUCCCUAGCAAAUAAAGCGAAAACAAAAUUCAAAUUCAAAAUAUUAUUAUUAUUUUUUUAAUAGAAACAUUCGUAUUUAUUCCGUUAGAUUAAUGAUAGCAAUCAAAUAAAAGUAUAAGCAUUAUCUCCAGUCUAAAGCAACAUCACACCCACAUCAACCAUCCACAUGAAUCAGCCCAGCAAACUUUGUCAUAGCUACUUUCAAGAAUGACAUGUCAAACCCCAAAAUCUCAUUGGAAGUAGUGACACUCUCACAAAGAAAUUAAAACCAAUAAAAAUAGUCACUCCAAUGAAUGGUAAUUGAGAGAGAAAAUAAUAAAGAAGUGAUAUCACAUGCUCUCACCAAGAUGAAAUAAAUAUGCCCUCAGCUUAGAAAUAAUACGAUCUCAAGUCAAACAAAAAUGCUAGUCAACCCAAUUUAUUUAUCUUUUUUUUUUAUUAUGCAUCACGACAUCUUUUUAGCCCAUAUAACUAGCUUCUACUUCAAACUAUAGUUCCCUAAAAUCAAGAAGGACUUUUAUUAGGACGUAACGUAGGCUAGGGACAUGGCUAACAAAGAAGAAAAAUAAGGAAAACAAAGUGUAUGUUUGAGAAAAAUGCAGAGAAUUUUUUUUUUUUGGAAGUUGCAAGGUGGAUUUCACCUAUUAUUUUUUUUUUUUCUUUUGAAACAACAACUUUUGUUUUGUUUGUUUUUUUUUUUUUUUUUUUGCAUAACUUUACUGAACAACAAAAUUAUUUACAUUUUCUCAAACAUAUAUAGGUGAUGGAACUUAUAAGACAUUGGGUAAUACUCCAAAUCGGAGUGGGUCAAGAUGAUAAGUUGACAAAGAAAAAGGUUUUUUUUUUUUUUUUAAAGGCUCAAAAGGAUUAACUAUGGAUAUUUGAUAAAAGGGAUAGCUAGAAAGGCUCAAACGGAUCAAAGAUGGCCUUUUCAUCGUCUUUUAGGGCUCUAAAUAAUCUUCCAUAUCUACUAGUUAGAUGGGCCUCCAAAUGUAGCAACACACUCUUUUUUUUUUAAAUUUUUUUUUUAAGGGUUAACUCAAAAGUAAUUUAGAGAUCGUGUAUAAAAUAAUAAACUGCUAAGCUGUAUAAAGAGUGGGCAAAAGAGUUAUUCUCCAAGAAAAAUAAUAGGCUCAAAAACUCACUUGGUACUUAUUAUGAUAUGUUCAUUCCUUCAAGCAACUCACAUUUGUCUCCGACAUCAACAUGUAAAGUAGAAAACAUAGCGUAACAUCACUUAAGACCAAAGAUAAUACAAAUACUAAAAUUUAAAAUUAAUCAUGUCAUCCAAUGUUAAAACAAAUCACAUAUUUUUUUUUUUUAAACAUCAUUCUACCCCCCAACCUAUUCUAAACAUGAAAGGAAAAUAUGCAUGCAGAAAUGUGAAAAUGAUGCAUAAAAACUAAUUAGAAAAGUUACACGUAAAAUGAUAGAAAACGAAAAUGAUUUUUUUUUUUUAAAGAAAAUGCGUUUCUAGAGGAACUACACUCCAUAUUCAGCCAUCUUCGACUCAAAAGUUGGAAAAUGUAUAUUUAUAGAGGAGAAAUUAAAAAGAAGAAAAAUAAACAUAAACACAUAAUAAAGAAAAAGAAAAUGUCUGAAUUUUUUUUUUUAUAAACGAUGAAGAUGCGUUUCUAGAGUCACUACACUCCAUAUUCAGCCAUCUUCAACACAAAAAGUUAGCAACAGUUAGUUUCUACAACAAAAAAUUAGUAAAAACUUAACCAAAAUUCCACAAUUGUCGACUAUUCCCUCCCCCCAACCAGAACGAAACAUUGUCCUCAAUGUUUGAAAGGAAAGAAGUAGAGUUUAGAAGACAUCACCUGGAUGGUGCAACACAGAAGAAAAUAUUUAUAGGCGGAGAGUUAAAUCUAAUUUGUACUUCUUACUGCUGCUACUGUUACCAUCAUUAUUUGGACGCUCCAACACGAAGGUCCAGGGGUCUGGCUCCGGUCUAUAAGCUUGUAACAGAUCAAGUAGCUCAUUAGCAGUGUGAGCACAAAUAAAAAGUUUUUUCACAUUAGCGGGAAUGAAAUAGUUUUUUAUUGCAUGGUUAAGAAAUGCGAUAUAGCCAUCAUAAAAGUUAUUGACAUUUAACAAACCGAUGGGUUUCUGGUGGAUGUGGAGAUGGGCCCAAGAUGCUAGCGUGAUAAGUGCCUCUAGUGUUGCAAGAUCUCCUGGAAGAAAAAUAAAAGCAUCAGCAUGAUUAAGCAUUUCAGUUAUUCUUUCCUGCAUACCUGAGACGACUAACUCUUCUCCAGUUGAUGAGUCAGACGAACUGCCCAAUGGUUUUAAGACUCUUGGGAUGAUGCCUAACACUUGACUUCCUCUGAUAAAAGCUGCUUCUGAGACCAUUUUUGAUAACCCUCGAUUACCUCCUCCAUACACCAAGUGUAAUUUUCUCACUGCUAUGCUUCGACCAAGAUCUAUGGCUGCCUCAACGAACUCUUUAUGUUUGCCAUAUGUAAAUCCAGAAAGCACACAAAUGUUCUUGAAUUGUCUAUUGGGAGUAGCUGCCAUUGUGAUACUUCGCAAAAAUAAUUUGUGAGUGCUUGACAAAGAAAAUCACAUUUAAGAGUCUUGGUGAUAGUGGGUCAUAGUUGUGUAUGAGGUCACAUGUCCAUGUCAAAUAACGCGUAAAGCACGUGGCUCGCGAGUCAAAAAGGAAACAGUAAAAAGGGAAAGGCAAACAGUAAUAAGGAAAAAGCAAACAGUAAUAAAAUUAUUAAAGACAAUAAUGCAAACAAUAAGACAAUAGUGAAAUAAAAUAACAAUAAAGUAAAAGGAUAUUUACAAGUAGUUGCGACUGUGGCUCACAUCUUCCUAUGGUUUUACGUCCAGAAACGGCUUGAACGCCCUCUAUGGGUCGAGGAUAGGCUUCCUAUCCAGUUUUCUUAUAAACUGGCAAACAGGAUCAUUUAUAGUCAGAUUCCCGAGACUAUAUCGUGCAUGCUCUUUCUGGAAUAAUGGCCAUAACUGGAGAAUCGCUCCUUGCACAUAUCCACUGGGAUGCGUUUCAAGAGACAAAAGGAUAUCAUCCAAUGACUCCUUAUUCAAGCCAUCCCUAAUGAAUUGAAUCUUAUCUUCCCUGUUAUCAGACAUCAUUCCUAAAGAACAUGGGUUUUUAUUGCAACUCAUUCUGGCACACUUAUGACAAGCAACAGAAAUUCUUCGAGCUCGUCGUUUUCUUGCAUAAUUUCCUUUACCACAACCAGGCAUGUAUGCAAUAAAUUUUGGAGGUAACUCACCUGCCGAUCGUACUUUAGCCUCGAUUAACCAACGGAUGUCAGCAGGUAUGUUAUUCCUCAUGAGUAAUCGCAUGCGUUCGGACCGAGCUUUAUAGAUUGUAAGGAGGGCAUUCUGAGGAAGUGAAGGGAAUCGCUUGUGAAGUUUCGAUAGAAUCUCGUUUCUGUCCAUACCUUCGCCUCAGAAUAUCAGUUAUUAUGGGAAACUGAAGUAACCGACUUGAUUGUCACGGAGUACCGUUAUCCGCCACUUCACCGGGGUAACAAACUAAAGCACACAAAUAGAAAAACAAAUUAAAACACACAAAGAAAAUUAAAAUCGUCCUCUUAUUGAAUUUACCUCAAGCUCCAACUGGAUGUCGUAAACACUUCUCUCAAUGUCUCUGAGUUGGCGUUCUAAACCCUCAACAUAGGCUACUAACUCUGGUGGUUGUAGAGCCCAAAUGCGUUGUGUUUUACAAAAUUGAAUCUGCCUUUUGAGAUGAGUUUUGACACGUUGAAGUGGUUUAAGAAUGUUCAGGAGGAACGGUCUAAGUAUGAGACUCAUGAUUAAAAAUGAUAAGAGAAAACUUAAUGGUAAAAUAAACACACUUAUGCAAAAACAAUUUCAAUUAGCAAAAGAAUAAUAUAAAGAAAGAAAACAAAAUUAAAUCAACGAAAAAAAAGAAAAAAAAAUCAAUUCAAAUCUGGUGGGUCACUCAAAUUUAUUUCGGUGUCUUCUCCACGUGGUUGGUAUUCUAGAUAUGGAUUUAAUCUUUGACCAUUAACUUUAAACGUGACACCGUUCUUUGGGUCCUUAAUUUCAAUUGCCCCAUGUGGAAAAACAGUAUGAACAAUAAAGGGACCAGACCAACGAGAGCGUAACUUACCUGGGAAUAGGUGCAAGCGAGAAUUGAAUAAAAGCACUUUCUGACCUGGAGUGAACGAUUUUCUCAUAAUUUGCUUAUCAUGAAAGACUUUCAUUCGUUGCUUGUAAAUCUUGGCAUUUUCGUAUGCAUCAUUGCGAAUUUCUUCAAGUUCUGCCAGCUGUAAUCUUCUUUCUGAGCUGGCUUGCUGCAUGUCAAAAUUGAAUUUCUUGAUGGCCCAAUACGCACGAUGUUCGAGUUCCACAGGUAGGUGGCAAGCUUUUCCAUACACUAGCCUGUAGGGUGACAUCCCAAUCGGGGUCUUGAAAGCCGUUCUAUAUGCCCAUAAGGCAUCAUCAAGUCUUAAUGACCAAUCUUUUCUGUCCGGCCUCACCGUCUUUUCUAAUAUGUGCUUUAUUUCUCGAUUGGAUAUCUCAACUUGGCCACUGGUUUGCGGAUGAUACGGGGUCGCCACUUUGUGUGUGAUUGAAUACUUUGUCAAAAGUGCUUUGAAUACUUUGUUACAAAAGUGGGCACCACCAUCACUGAUUAUUGCUCGAGGGAAUCCAAAGCGUGAAACAAUGUUGCUUUUCAAAAAUGCUAUCACCACCUUGUGAUCAUUGGUCCUACAUGGAAUUGCUUCUACCCAUUUCGAUACAUAGUCAACAGCAACCAAUAUGUAUUGAUGACCAAAAGACGGGGGAAAGGGUCCCAUGAAGUCGAUACCCAUACGUCAAAAAUCUCAACCACUAAAAUUGGAUUUAGUGGCAUCAUGUUCCUCCGUGUAAUGCUCCCCAUUCGUUGACACCUAUCACAUGAAGAACAUAAAGUGUAAGCGUCUCGAAAUAUAGAUGGCCAAUAGAAACCACAUUGUAAAACUUUAGUCGCUGUUUUCUUAGCACUGAAAUGGCCUCCACAAGCUUGUUCAUGGCAGAAUGAAAGGAUAUUCUGAAUUUCACUUUCUGGGACACAUCGUCUAACAAUUUGAUCCGCACAAUACUUGAACAAAUACGGGUCAUCCCAAAAGAAAUUCUUUAUCUCCGCAAAGAAUUUAGCCUUAUCUUGCUUAGUCCAAUGCUCUGGAAGUUGACCUGUAACAAGAUAAUUCACGAUGUCAGCAUACCACGGUAAUACUUCCACAUUCAUCAAUUGUUCAUCAGGGAAUGACUCAUUUAGUGGUAAUGGCUCUGUAGUUGUGUCAAAAUGGAGACGAGAGAGGUGGUCCGCCACAACAUUUUCUGUCCCUUUCUUAUCUUUGAAUUCCAAGUCAAAUUCCUGCAAAAGUAACUAACGUUUUCUGUUAAAAAUGCAUUCUUUUGAACAUGCAUAUUUCUCUUUUUAGUACAAAGGUCUUUAAGAAACUUGGCAUAAGAUGGAACUUGCUUAAUAGCAUCAAGUAAAGGGAUGUUAACACUUACCUGUUUGAAGAUUUCGAGAAUCUCACCUGUGGAUUUUCCUUUCUUGCCUUUAGCUAACCUCUGGGGAAAUGGAGCUUUCGGAACAUAUUCUCGUGGGUUGGUUUCUUCUUUCUCCUCCGGUGGUGAGUCCUCAACACUCACAGGAACAAUUUGAUUUUCUUUUGUCACCGGCAUCUCCACUUUGUUGUCGACUUCUUUUCCUUUUCGCAAGGUCAUUAAUGCUUUGACCUCUCCAUGCUGCUGUGGUGAACUGGUACUUGCUUCCUGUACUCCUUUAGGAUUAGGCACUGGUUGACUUGAAAAUUUGCCUUUCUCAACAGUCAUUGCCAAGGUCUGAACUGAAGAAGCAAGUUGUCCCACCAUCUUCUCGAGGCUUGAAACCGAUUGAGCUUGUGAGUUGAAGCCUGCUCUCAACUCAUUUCGUAGUCCAUCAAUGGUGCGGUUCUGUUGCUCAAUCGUAGAGUGAGUAAGAUUCUUGAGAUUCUGGAAUGAAUCCUCCCAUGGUCUAGGUUGAGAGUAGUUCUGGUUCUGAUUGUAUGGUCUAAAUGGGGGCUGAGAGGCUUGAGGAUUUUGUGGAAUUGGUUGCAUUGGUGGAGCUGGAGCUGCUGGUCCAUUCUGUUGAAAUCCUUGAGACCAUGAAAAAUUGGGGCGGUCUCUCCAUCCAGGGUUAUAUGUGUUGGAGUAUGGGUUGUAAUUUGAUGGCUUUCUCAUUACACCUAUGGCAUUGGCUUGAUCUGAGUAUGAGUCAUGGUCAUGUGGUUCUGUUGAUUUAGCAGUCGAUAACGAUGCUAUUUGUCGAGCAAGACCUUCAACCAUCUCCUUGACUUCUUUGAUUCCUGAAGUUGAUUCGCCAAUUUGAACCUCAUUCACUCCUUUAAUUCUUCUAGUAGUCCUGAGUGAUUGACUCCGUUGUUGGGAAUUAUCUGCUUGUCGCUGGAAGAAUUCCCAAAUUUCUGAUGCACUUUUUGACAUUAGCUCUCCUCCACUUGUUGCCAUUAGCCAUUCUUGCACAUUUGGCAAUAAUCCCUCCAAAAAGUAUUGGCAUUGGUGCCAUUUCUCGUACCCAUGAUGUGGACACUUCAAGAGUAGGCCAUUGAAUCGCUCCCACGUCUCGAAAAACUGCUCGUCCUCUCUCUGAGUAAACUCUGAGAUUUCCCUGCGAAUAGCAUUGGUUUUAUGCACUGGGAAAUAUUUAUUCAAAAAUUUCGUUACCAUUUGUUCCCAUGAUGAAAUGCUAUUGGCAGGCAAUGUAUUAAGCCAUGAACGAGCUCUAUCCUUUAAAGAAAAUGGGAAUAAUCUGAGUUUAACAUCAUCGUCUGAAAAAUUUUCAUAUUUAAAAGUUUGACAAAUGGCAUGAAAAUCAUUCAGAUGAUUAUAUGGAUCCUCAUUUUCUAAGCCAUAAAAUGUGGGGAGACAAUUUAGCACACUAGGUUUUAAUUCAAAACUCCUAGCAGCUACAUUUGGGUAUCUUAUGCAUGACGUGCUCAAAUUAGCUAAGGGACUAAAAUAGUCCUUAAAUGGUCUCUCCUGUGGUGCUUGUAAAUCCAUUUUAUUUUUAACGUGUUUGUGUGUGCGAAGUGUUUUUUUUAAUUCAAGGUCUAUAGGUUCAAGAUUAGGUAAUAAUGACCUACGACCAUGCAUGCAAAAUAAAUAAAAUAAAAAUAAAGAUGCAAACAAAACAAAAAAUAAAGAUGGGAACAAAACAAAUAAAAAUAAAGAAGAGGGAGAAAUUACGAUACUAACCUUAUUGCGCUAUUACAACCUUUCUAUAAAAAUACACAAAAAUAAAUACGUGAAAGAAAUUAACUAAAAAUUAAAUUAAUAAGAUAAACAAAAAAAAAUUACAAAGAAAAAUAAAUGGAAAAUUAAAUUACAGAAUUUUAAAGAAGAGAAAAAGAAAAGAAAUACUAACCUUUAAAUGUAGAUUCACUUUUUUUUUCUUUUUUUUAAUUUAAUAAAAAAAUACAAGAAAACAAAUAAAAGAAAUUAUUCAAAAAAAAAUUAAUUCUAUGAAUUAAAAUUACUUACCUCCCCGGCAACGGCGCCAAAAACUUGUUGUGCAAAUUUUAAUGUACUCGCAAGCGAACGAAUCUAUUGUAGUAUAGACUAAUGGUGACGAGUGUCGAUCCCACGAGGAGGUUGAUUUUAAUUAUGUGUAUAGAAUUAAUUUUGUGAAUGGGCGAUUGGAUUUAUGGUGGAAAUGAUUUGGAAUAUGCUAAGACUUAAAUUAAAAUGGCGAGAAUAAAUUCUAAAAUUGGAAUUGCAAUGGAGAGAAUAAAUUGAAGAGAAAAUCUAUUAAAUUGACGUACUUGGGUAUCUGGAUCCAUAUCAACAUGCAUCAUGGGCUAAAUAAUCCGUAUUAAUGCCAAUUAAAUCAUGAGGGGGGAAUCCACACCUCAUGAACCACGCUCUAAUCAAUAUGGUGCUAAGGGCUUAUCGUGCCAAAUAAUAAUAACCUUAUACUAGAGAGCCGGUGUAACCAAGGCGGUAUCUAGACAAGACUAUUAUUAUUUGUCGACGAGAAGUCAAAACAUCCACAAAAACUAGAGGGGAAGAGAAAAUAAAUUUACCAAAUUAAGCCCAUGACACAUGUUGAGACUUCACCUUCAACCCAAGCUUGAAAGAAAAUUAGCCACUCAUAAUUGAACUAGGGGCAAAAUGGGAAUUUAUUAAAAUACGAAGAAAAUACAAGAUGGAGAGGGAAUUACAGAAAACAGAGUCCAAAAAUGGAUUCAGAGAUAUCAAAUUAGGGGGGGGAGGCCCCUUUUUUAUAGAUACAUGGAGUAAAUCAUGGCCAUCGGAUUAAAAACAGUUUGGACGCUCAGGAUUGCGCCACGUCAUCAGUCAACAGUCCACGGUUUGACCACGCGGAUGAACAGUAACACGGUUUGACUCGGAUGAACAGUAACGCGGUUUGGUUGAAAAUAAUCCUGUGUGAUGCAUGUACCGUACGCGAGAUUUUUCAUCCACUGAUAUGCUGCCACGUCACCAUCAACAGUACAUAAGAAUUUUAGCCCAACAGGAUCGUGACACCUCAUCAGUCAAUGCCACAUCAUCGGUCAACGCCACGUCAUCGAUCCGUCUAUGUGAACAGUGUUGUGAACAGUAACGUAGUUAGUACCGUACACGUGAAUAGUACCGUACAUAUGAAUAGUGCCAUUUUUCCUUUUAUGCUCCUCCUAAGGUUUUCGACUGUCCUGAGUUCAAAAGUGAUGUCCGUUUUGCCGUCUUAUCUCUCCUUUAUUGUGAAAUGACUAUAAUGCCCCUAAAAUACAUAAAAUACUUAAUUAAAAUAAAACACAUGUAAUUAAAUCACAAGAAGGUUAAAUACAGAAAAGUAAGGGUUGUUAGUAAGACUUGAAAUGUAAAAUGACGGUUUUCUCCUUUAUAAAUAUGCAUUUUCUAACACUCAACACUAGUCAUUGACUACCAGCCAUUAAACAUGUUUUUACAAGAUGACAAAUUCCCUUUACCUCGCCGACAAAGCAUGUUCACUUUUCUAAAAAAUGCCCAGAUCUUUUCAAAAUUUGAUUUAAAAUCUGGUUUUUGGCAACUAGGCAUUGAACCCUCCGAACGUUACAAAACCGCUUUUUGUAUUCCCAAUGCCCAUUUCCAAUGGACCGUCCUACCCUUUGGUCUCAAAACUGCCCCCUCCAUUUUUCAAAAAUCCAUGGUCCAAAUCUUCCAGCCCAUUUUGCAUCAUGCAUUGAUUUACAUUGAUGAUAUCUUGCUUUUUUCAGGAUCACAUGAUGACCAUCGCCAGCUGUUAACUCAAUUCUAUGAUAUUAUCCAAAGUCAUGGAAUCAUGUUAUCGGCCAAGAAAAGCACCAUUGCUACAGAUAAUAUUGAAUUCCUUGGUAUGAUCAUCAAAGAUGGACAUUACCAGCCCGGAAAGCACAUUGCCCAAGAAUUGCUUCACUUUCCAGAUCAGCAACUUUCCAAAAGGCAAAUCCAACAGUUUCUCGGCAUUAUCAAUUACAUCCGUGAUUUCCUCCCACAUGUGGACCAUGACACUCAUCAUCUCUCGGCUUUAUUGAAAAAGCAGCCCCCAGAGUGGAAUGCUGCCCACACAGCUGCUGUCACUACCCUAAAACAGAUCGCGCAAAAUCCGCCUCCUUUAAAGUUGAUUACUGACGGAAAGCGUAUAUUGCAGACAGAUGCCAGUGAUGAAUCAUGGGGUGCCAUCCUCCUCGAAGAACUCAAUGACAAGGAAAACUUUAUCGCUUACGCUAGUGGACAUUUUUCUGAAACACAGAAGCACUACCAUAGUGUGUUUAAAGAAAUCUUAGCGGUAAAGAAUGGCAUCAAAAAGUUUGAGUAUCAUCUGAUUGGACACCAUUUUCUCAUCCGAAUGGACAGCUCAGCCUUCCCCAAUAUCUUUCAUUUCAAAGGUAAAACUGUUCCCGAAAAAAUGUUACUCAGAUUAAAAGAUUGGUUUUCCAAAUAUGACUUUUCAGUCAAGCAUAUAAAGGGAUCCCAGAACCUCAUCCCUGAUAUGCUCUCCAGACUCUCCAAACCACAAAACCCUCUCACCCUGUUUUCCACCACCUACCAUUUUCCAAUUAUCUCCAUGGCUACCUCACUACCCUCAGAAGCUCUCACCAAGAAAACUUUUCCCUUCAACAAAACCUUCUCUUCUGUUUUCGCCAUCCAAGAAUUUGCUAGAAAAGCUCUCUUUCGCUUUUUCAUGAAAGCCUACCUUGUCACCGACCCUUUUCCUUUUUCCGCUUUCCACCCAGAAAAUCUGUUCCUUACAGGUUUAACCCUUGAUCUGACCAGAGACACCACUGAAGACGUAUUAUGGUACAUCUGGUGCCUAACAGUCCUUUAUGCAACCAAGUUAGUCCUCCCCAUUUCUCCCAUUCUGGACCACCUCCUUAAUCCAGAUAACGCCACCUCUCUUACCUGGACCCUACUUGAAUGGUUCUCCCCCAUCCCAUGGUGGAGAAAGAAACUGCAACAACUGUCCGAAAUUUACAACCUUGACCGUAUGCCUGCCCCUGAAGCACAAAUGUUCACAUCCGUUUUUAUUAUUCACAGGUCAUACUUCCAACAUCCAGACACCCAUCUCUUUUGGACUCAAGAUCAGGUAUAUGAAGGUUCACUGCCCCACAUAUAGCUGUGAUUGAAAAUGACAUACAAGACGUCCUGCACAAUUACCUUUGCCAAUUAAACCACCAACCUCCGCCACUUAAAGAUAUCUCUCACACCUCCUUAGGUCCACAACAUGACCUUCUCAUGAUACCCACUCCAUCUGCCAUAUCUAAACCUAAGUCCACUGGCAUCAUCAUCAAAGAAGAACGACCAGACUACACUGACUUCCUUUACCAAGACUCUCAAGACCCAUGGGAAGACUUUCUUCCUCUAAGCCAACACCUCCACCAGUUUCCCCAACCAACAAUGGAUGAACCUGGCCCCUCUGAACCAGGACCCUCAACCCAAUCUUCCAAACGACCAGCUCAAUCAUCCAAAGUUGACAAAGCCACCCAAACGUCCCCUAAGUAUACUCCGAAGUGUACUCCCAGAGCCUAUAAUUUCCCUUAUCCACCAUGCCGAGGUCCCUCCUGUAAGCAUCCAAAGCUCUCCAAAACCUUCUUCCAAAAGCAUCCUCACUCUGGUGAUACGAACCCUGAUGAGACCGAAAGCUCAUCCGAAGACGAGUACAUGAAUCUCCGCUCUCCAUAAAGUUGUUUGUCUUGUUGCUUUCAAUAAAGUAGUUUGUCUUGUUGUAAUAAUUACGUUUUACUUUAUGGUUUUGUCUUGGCUUGCCUUACGCUUUGGCUUUUGCCACUUGUAAAAGUCUUUGUAAGCAUGCUUUAUCUUUUGUCCAUUUGUCAAAGUCUUGAUCGGUGGGCUUGGCUUUCUAAAAAGGUGUGCUAUAGGUCAUAAUCUAUGUUGUCGUAUCUUAAGAAGAUAGGGGUCAUGUCCUAUCUUCCCCGAGAAUUCUCCCCUCCUUUGUAAGAUAUAGAAGUAAAAAACAAGAAAUAAACUCGUGUUUUUCUCUUACAACAUGAAUCCCUAAAACUCUUCUCUCUCCCUGCAAAUGAAGUUCUAAGAAAGAAAAAGAAUAAAGGAUUAAAUUUGUUCAUUUUGAAAACCUAAGGAAGUAUGCUCUGCACUUGCCUUCUCGUAAGGAUCCUGUGCAUCAGAAAACUUUUGAUCAUUUCUUAUCUGGUUUGGUACCCUGUUUUAGACUAAAGAGAAGUCUGUUUUGGGUUGUAUAACCUGAGAAAAAAUGUUUUAAAGGUUUUUGAUUACAGAGGUAUAUCGGCUGGAAACCCGAGCUUGCGGACUACUGGUCCAAAGUACAGUUUUAACUGUUGUAGUUCUGGUAUAACAACACCACGUACACUUAUAUAACCUAGAAGAAACUGUUUUAAGUUUUGAUAUAUCCAAAGGUAUAUCGGCGGGAAUCCAUCGACGUAAGUUCCAGAGGUGAUCCCGAAUGGGCACUAGUCUGGUCCGCACUGAUGGUAACAAGCCACGUAUCUUUAUGGUAUCAGAGCCAUACCCAUCCUUGAAAAUUCAACGUGUGCUAAACUCAAAAUGUAAUUAUUACGUAUUUUCCCAGAUAUGCAUGUAUAUAUAUAUUUUAAAAAAAUACCUACAACAAAAACCUUAAAAGUCAAUAUUGUUGGAAUCAAGAAAAAUGUAUUAAAUAAAUUAAUAUUUUGCAACAUCAAUCCUAAAUCAAUACGGAUAAAAAAUAAUGUUUAAAGAAUUUAUCUCAAUUUAUUAAUUAAUUAUUAAUUUAUCGAAAUUAUAUUUGUACAUAUAUACAUACCAACCAUAUAUUCUUAUACGUUAGUCACAUGAUUCAUGAACAUGUCAAGUGUUGUUUUCAAGAGGUAGCCAUGAGGCCCAUGACCCAUGAGUCACGACCCACCAUACGUUAUUCCCCAGGAAUCAAGAUUUUAAUACCCCAAAUUUAUUAAAGGAUCCUUUUAGUUUUUUUUUUUUUUUUUUUUGCUCUUUUCUAUUUAUUCACAAUUUGUAAGUUAGUUCCCAUGGUCCCCAAAAAAUAAAUGAAUAAAUAUGUCAAAUGUCAAUCCUUUCUCCAAUAGAAACCCUUUCAAUUUGAAACUACAAAUGUGAAUUUUAAAAGUUUCCGUAAAAUGUAUUUGAAUCGGGGCAAAAAAAAAUUUGACGUGUCUUAAUGUUUGACUAUAUAUAAUCAAAUUAUAUAUUCUUAAUUUUUUUUUCUUACUGGGUUUCUCCCUUGCAUGAUUUGUUCAUUAUGUGUACAAAAUAACAACUGGAUUUAGGCUGUCAAAGCUAUCAGCAUAGCCUUUAAUUAAUUGAACUUUUUAGCGCAUAUAUAUAUAUAUAUAUAUAUAAAGAUAACAACAAAUAACAGGAAAACCUUAGGUGCAAAUGUAGUAUCGUGUUAUAAUUACAUCCAGCCGUUAGAUGUCAAUAAAUUCCAUCAAUCUUAGUGCAUCCAAUGACUGAAUACAACUGUAGUACAGUACUAUAGUUGCACCGUAGCCUCAUCCCAAAUAACAAGCAUUUCUUAAAAUAGCUGCCCAAAUAUUUUGGUACAGUACAUCUGCCCAACAAGUUGCAUUAAUUAAAAAUAUUUUUUUUUAUUAUUUCCUAUCUUUACGAAUUUGUCUUCGACGUGCAAAUACUCGUGCGAUUAAAGCAUUAUUAAAAGAUUCUUUUAAUUUUAUUUUCAAAUGUUCUUUGAACUUAUCUUGUUAUUUAUGUAACAAAUAAAAAAAUAAAUUUUUUCUUUGCAAAGACUUUUCAAAUAAAAAUAAAUUUUAUAUUAUUUUAAUUAAAUCUUUUCAUCCAUAAAAAUAACAAAAAAAUAAAUAAAUUUUUUCUUUGCAAAGACUUUUCAAAUAAAAAUAACUUAUCUUUCUUUAAUAAUGAUGAUACAAAAAUUAAUAUAAUAUAAGAUUAAAGAGGGAGAAAUUACUCUAUAAUUAAAAAAAAAGAGACGAAUACUAUCUCAUUAAAAAAAAAAAAUUCGAGAAGUUUUUUAGAACCUUUAAUAUAAAUGUAACUGUUUAAAAAAGAAAUCAAAUCUCAUCAAAAGAAAUUUUUAAUGAUACUCUUAGUUCUCAAGACAUGAUAAUAUAUGUAAAAGUUAUUUUUUUAAUUAAAAAAAUAAAAGAAAUAGAAAUACAUUUAUAUUAAAUUUUCUUUCUUUUUCUUUUUAAUUUGGUGUGCUAUUCGAAGUAAUUUUAAAAACAUCUAAUUAUAAAAUUUUUGUUCGAUUUUACUAGUUAUCAUGCUUAUUGUUGGAGGCCAAUUUGACUAAAUAAGAAGAAGACAGGUGUCGAGUAUAAGAAUGAAUAAAAUAAUGAAGUAAAACAUGAGCACAAUCCUAUAAGAGAAAGGGAGGUGACCUAAUUAAAAUCAGAAACAGACUAUUGAGGGGGCAAAACAAAAAAGAAAAGGUACAGAAGGAAUAAAAUAAAACAAAUAGAGGACACUGGGAUUGCCCUAGCAUGUCUUCUUAGGAUUCAGAAGCUGACUCCUUAUAUCCCUCAUGGCAGCUGGUUUUAUUAUCCUAUGAGUCACCUCUGCACAUUGAAAUGGACAUUGCCUUCAUUCUCAAAAUUAAUUAGGAGUGCCACCGUUAGAAGGGUCUGUCUGGGCGCCCCUGAUUUUUUUUCUAUCAAUAUAAUUCAAGUCUAGAGGACCAAUUACUCUACAAAAGGACUAAAAUGGCGUAUUAAUUAGUUUUUCUUCUUUUUUAUCAUUCAAAUGUUAUGCAUUUACUUACUACAUGUGUGAUUCUAAUGCCAACCCAAAACUACUUAUAUCAUUGUCUUUGUCUACAACUAAUUAAUUAAUUUAAGCAAUGACUUUAUUUUCUUCUCAAAUUGCAAAUAAUUGUCUAAAAACAAUUUAAGCAAUUACUUUAUAUUCUUGUUUUUUUAUCAAAUAUAUAAAAGAUUAAAAAAAAACUUCUCAAAUACAACAAAAAAACUAGAAUAUAGAAGAAGUAAUGCGAAUUAAUACAUGGAUGAUAUGUGUAACUGAAUAUAAUAUAAUCACCACUUAUAUAGUAGUUUUUUAAAAAUAAAUGAACAUAUGUUAUAUAUAGUGUUAUUUGUUUGUGGUAUGGUUGAUAUAAUAUAUCUGAUGUAUUGUAAAUUUUUAUAAAUUAGAAAAUAAAUCAUGAUUCAUGAAAAAGUCAAAAUUAAAAAAAUAAUGGAUAAAUUUUUGGAUUACUCUCCUCUCAUGAAUUAAUUAUUUUCAAAUUAUCUCCUUUAUUUUUUAAAACUUCAAAUUAUUCUUUUAAAAAAAGAUAAGAGAAAAGUGGGGCUAGAUUGAUGAAUCUUUUUUUUUUCUUAUUAACAAAAUAAAAGGUUUAUUGAAACUUUUAAAGAUAAUUAAUUGAUAAGGAAAUAAUCCAAAAUUAAUUCAAAAAUAAUUUCUAAUUUGGUUUCUUGCAAUAGUGGACCUCAACCACAUAGUAUUGCUUUGCCUCAGCAUAUAAUCAAAUUCUAAUGGGGUAAAAGGCCCACCAUAUCGACUCAUGUGCAUAGAAGAUCUGAGAAAAUCUGCCGUAUCAAUCAUUUCGUUGAAGGUUGACCCAAUAACGAUGAUUCCCAUUAUUAUCUUUUUGGUUGGUAAGAAUUUUCAACUUGCCAUUAAUUGGCUUUCACACAAUGUUUAAGAUUUUCUGGUUGUUGUAUUGAAGGGAUUUCAAAAUGUUACUACUAAUGGACUUUUCCCCGUACGAUCAUCACUUUGAUAAGUAAACGAACGAUUCAACAAACGCAUUUAGCUAUUUAAUUAUGAAUUGUCCCUUACUUUUCACGAAUAGAAUUGCACUCUGUUUGUAUUUCAAUUCAUGUAAUAUUAUUAGAAUUUAAAUUAUGUGACAUUUUAAAUUGUAUUAUAAUUGAUUAAGCCUAAUAUAUAUUUUGUUCUACUGUACACAAAUAGUAAUUCAAGAAAACCAAUUGUACAAUAUCCUUUACUAAUUCUAAAGUUUUCUUAAUUUUUUUUUCUUUUGGGUGUACUAUUCUCCUUUUUUUUGGAAAUAAUCUAUAUAAAUAAAUACUUCAUAAUUUAGUAAUUGAGAUUUCUCAUCAUUUACACAGUUAUAAAUUUAUAUAUUUAUAUAUACAUAUAUGUGUGUGUAUUAAGGGCUAAUAAUACACACCCUACCUGAAGUUUAUGAAACUAGACAGAAACUUUGAUUAUAAAUAUUAUUAUAGACCCUUAUUUUAAUAAAAUAUAAAGCAGAUUCAAAAUUAAAAAAAAAUCAUAAAUUUUAAUACAAAAUAUAAUUACAUUAACGUGUAUAUUUUUUUUUAUCUUUUAAUUUAUACCUUAUUUUAUUAAAAAUAAUUUUUUUAUUAUAAAAUUACUCUAUAUAUGUGUGUAUACCACUUUAGAUAACAAAACUAUCAACCCAUUUUAACCAAGGUUAUCAAUUUUUCUAAAGGGCCAUUUGUUAUGAGCAGAAAAACUACUUGGACACCAAACCUUGGAUAUAUAUCAUUACCUCUUUUAUUUUAUUUUUAAACAAUACUAAUAAUAAAUGUCAACUUUUGGGUACGCAUACAUGAUUUGUCCAUGAUCGAUAUCCACCUAAGACCUAACAAAUUUUGUGUAUAUGUCCAGUAUCACGUUUUAAAUAUAAAUAAAUAAAUAAACUUUGGAACUAAUCUUAAUUCAAUAAUAUAAUGUAUUAAUUCUCCAAGAAGAUCUCAAAGUAUCAUCAUAUCUCUUAAAACUAAUAGCCAUAGUGGAAGGUUCACUAUAUCAAGCUAUUCAAAUAAUAAAAAAAUUAACAACUAAUAGUGCAUGGCAAUGAUAUGAUUGGUUGCAACUGCUCACUGAUCGACAUACAAAUUAGGUCCAACCCCUUUAUAUAUUUUCGUGUGAUUCCAUACAGAAAUGUUAAUUCUCAAAGAAAAUAAAUUAAUCAUAUGUUGGCAUUUCCUCAUCAACCAUGAUAAUGACUUGGCAAAUAAAUGUUUAAUUUAAUUUGUUUCAAACUUUUAAAGAAUACUAAUUUUUCUUUGCUUUAUAAGAGCUUGGCUUGAAUGGACUUUUGAAUUUUUCAGCGUGUCAACAUUGUCACCUCGUUGACAUUGACCUAAAAUUAACUUAUUUUCGAAUACAAGUCAAAUGCUAAAUAAUAUUAGCUUCUUUUUUUAGAAGAAAUAAUAUAAGGUUAAAACACUUAUGAAAUAUUUUAUAUACUACACCUUUUUCUUUUGCAUGGUAAGAAUUAAAACUUAAAAUAAUUCGGAGUGGAGGAUUGAAAUACAUAUGAUCUCGCUUUGAGAAAAUUAAUAGUAUAUCAUGGUAAAGGUUAACAUUUUAAGAUUGUUGGAAGCAAUUAAUUAAGAUAACUAGAUUUUAAAAAGAUAGUUGGGAUCAUAAAUGAAGGCCUCAAGACAAAGAGUGAGGCCAAUUUAUUAAUUAAUUGUGGACUACACUUUCAUACUUUCCAUAUCUAUCGUAAGGGUAAUUUUCUGAAGGAUAAUUUUGUUAAUUUGGGUAUUUUUAUUAAUAAUUUUAUCUAAUGGGAUAAAUCACUUGCUCUUAUAAGGAAGUAUCUCUUAAUUAAAGGUUUUUGAAGUCUUUCUUUUAAGAAAGUCUUAAUUUGUAACAUACUUUUUAGAGAAAUUAUCACUCAUAUACCUUUAAAUGACACUUGUAUCAAACGUACUAGAACAUAUUUAACAUGUAUGAGUCAUAUACCACUAACAAAAUGUGUCUACUGUCCAUAAAACCAUUAGCUGCCAUUAGAAAGUUAACAGAAUUGUGGCAAAUUAACUAUUUUACUCUUUAAACUUAAAUUAAGAUAAACAGACUGAUUUGCCCAAAAAAUUAAAGUAAAUUUUCAAUACACAAUUUUUUUUAUUAACAAUACAUAUUUUUUUGAUAAAAAAACUAUAAUUAUUAAUAAUGCAUAUUAUUAACAAUUAUACAUAUUAUACCAUAAAAAAUUCAAGUUGGAGCUUGGAGGAGUAGACUUCAAAAAUUCAGGUUAAAGUUUGGAGGAGUAGAAUCAGUUGUGGAGCUGCAGAAUUUUUUUUUAUAGUCCCGGUGAAAUAACAUUGUUUCACAUAGAUUAUGUCGUUGUUCGAUAAAUGGGAUGACAUAUCAUUUUUUUAAUCAAAUAUAUCGGACUGCAUAUCAUUUUUUACCAGAUAAAUGGGAUAACAUGUCAUUUUUUUUAAGCAAAGUUUCUUCUAUCUUAAAAGAUUGGGUUACUCUUAUGAUGUUAGCACUUGCAAACGACAACUAACAGAUUAGUGAAUGACAAACACAUUUUGUCAACUUAGGGUAUACGAGUAAUAAUUUUCCUACUUUUUAUCCAUUUACUAUUUACCUUAUAUGUAUGUAUAUAAUUAUGAUUGAUUGAAGUAUACACAUAGUCAAGAGUAAAUGAAAAAGGGCAAUGUUUUGUGAGCACCCAAGAAUUUUUUCAAUCAAAUUAUCAGUUUAAAUAACAAAUCUUAUAAUUCUUUUUUCUUUUCUUUUCUUUUUUUUUAAAUUUCAGCAUCAGUCAUAUAAAAAAGAAAUGGUAAUAGGUAUCUAACAUAUCAAGUCAAUAUUUUAUGGGACAAUUUAAGCCAUGUGGUGACAAUAUUUUUCACACACAAAUAAUUACUUGGUUUCAUUUCUGCCAUUUCAUUUUAGCCUAUUCACUUUCAAAUAAGACUCAAUUUAGAAUUGCUUUUCAAAUAUAUUUUAUUCAAAUAGAGCUUUUAUUAGGAUAUCUUUUAUAUUUGAAUUACUACUAAAAAGGAAUUUAAUUGUUUAAUUAUUCAGUUAUUAAUGAGAACUUUUUAAAAUAAAAUCAUAACAUCACUUUAAUAAACAAGUUUUAAAUUUUAAAAUUAUACUAUAAAAAAUAAAAAAGAAAUCAUGAAAUAAAUAAAUGAUAUUUUAGAAAAUUUAACUUCUUAAAAAAUUCCCUAACAGCUACUUCCGAAAACCCAACAUUUAAACUUUUACAAAGAGAAACAAAAUAAUUAAUUUCAUCUCCAAAAAAUUCUACUCAUAAUAACACCACAAAACAUCUAAAUACAUUGCUUUUGCUUUUGAAGUAAAAAUAAAAUUAUCGAUCCCAACUAAAGUAAGUUCAAACUUGUAGAUUUUCUCAUGUGAUGAUACAUGGUUUUCACAUGUUAUGUUUGAUAUCAUAUUUUUUUAAAAAGAAAAAGAAAAACGAAAUUACUUAUGCACAAGAGCACCAGACACAUAAUUGAUUGUGAAGGGGACAAGAAUCCCAAAAAAAGAAACAUUGUUUCAUGAGAUAUGAAAUAUUAGUGAUAAUGAAGUUCGAUGAUAGGGGAACAUGCUAGGUCCCUGUGAGAUCGACAAAAUUAACUGUUUAUCAUUCUAAUCUUGUGCCAAUAUGGCUCCACUCUAGUCUUAUGACCAUCAAAUUUCCCGUUUUUGUUAAUUAUUCUCUAUUUUUCUAAUAAUGCAUUGAUGCCCGCUCACUCUCCCAACAAAUUAAUUGAUAUGUCUCUCCAAAUAAAGGAGAGGGGAGAUACAUUUUAGUAUAUAUCGAAAUAGUAAUUUAGAAUGCAUCGCAAUAGUAAUAAUAUUGAUUGGUUUUAAUAGAUUUUUAAUUGUAUAUAUCACCAUGAUAGUGAUUACAAGAUAAUAAUAAAACUUUGACGACAUCCGAAUUGUUUUUUUGUUUGGACCAACUUAUAUAUAAUAAUAAAGAUUUUGAGAAUAUCCAUAUUAGAGACUAACUGCAAUUUUACGUAAGCUGCUUUAUUGUUAGGACCCCAUCCCAUGGGAUAACUCUGGUUGAGAAGCAAGGAUUAUUACCCAUGGCCAUGGUGUUUUUGGCAAUUGGUCGAAUAAUGACCCUGCCCAGCCCCACGAACAGUAUUUGCAUAAAAAGUGUUGAUUGAUUAUCUGUGACAAGUUGUACGAUCCAUUAUAAGUGUGUCGGCUUAAUCUUCUUCUACAUCUAAGCCAACAAAAUAGCACACCUUCUGCUUCUUCAACGUGCAUAAUUUUCCAGGCAUAUUCAUUCGGACUCCCGGUAGGGUCUUUUUUUUUUAAUUGUUUCAAGGGAAAAUAGAAAGAACUAUAUUAAAAAAUAAAAAAACGAACAAAGUCAUGAAAAUAAGUAUUUGGAAAAUUUCCUUUCUUUUUUUUUUAUAUUGAUUUUUUUUUUAAAAAUGCAAAGGGUGUAUAAAGCCUACAAUUAUUUUUUAACUCCUUACCUCCUCCAAGAGUUAAAUCUAAAUAGCAAAUUAAAUAAAAUGUCUUAAAAAUCAUUAAACCAUACUUUCUGUAUGACUCUUACGGAAUUGUUACUCCUCACUCGGUUGUUCUCUAUCUCUUAAUUGAGCAUCAGUUGAUAAAAAACAAAAUUACAAGCUGUUAAUUUACGAGCAUUUCGAUUGCUAUUUUUGCAAUAAAAUCAAACAAUAAUAUAUGUCAAAUGUAAUGCCAUUAUUAUCACAUGGCCGGUCCCACGGGCCACGGAGGAGAGAACACAAGGCAAAAGCAAACAAAAGCGAGAAUAAUGGUGCUGGACUAGAGCGCUGAUAUUUGAAUCAAAUAAUCUAACAAUGGAUAAGAUACUGUUACACUCAUGUCGAAUUGUAGUGUUAAUUAAAAAAUUAACACUAUUUUUUUAAUUAUCGUUGUGGCUGCACACAGAUGUGAUAUUGUUUUCGUUGCCAUUGUGUCACUGCUUUAUCGUUUAUUGUUGCACUAUUAAAUUCAAAGUUGAAGCUGACGUGGGGCCGCCACCUUCUUUGUCCACUUUCGUAUAUCUCUCUUUCAAACGCAUUCUUGAGCGUCCUUCAAAUCUUUAGCUCUCUCUCCGACGGACUUGCUCUUUCUCUAUCCCUUUUUUUUUCCCUUCCUCCCCCUGCUUAUGGUUUUUUGUCCUUCUCCUUUUAAAGAUUUUAUAUCCGUAAUUUUUAAAAUCAGUAAUAGUUAGUCGUUAGUAAACUUUUUAUUUAAUGAUGAUGAUGAUGAUAUCGUUAUUAUUAUUAUUUUGAGAGAUGGUGAAAGAAAGUUAUUUAUUUUUUAAUUUAAUACUGUAUUAGAAAAUAAUGAAAAAAAAUAGUUUUUUUUAAUUUUCUUUAUUAAAAGUGUAGAAUGAAUUUCACAUUUUUAAAAAUAUUUUUAGAAAUGAUCUACUAACAAAUAUUUAGUGUUUCCUAAAUUUAGAAAAUAGAAAAUAAGAUUUGGAAACAAUACUGAAUGCGUCCUAAGCUUAUUCUCGCAAAAAUAAGGAUUCAAGUAAAAAUUACCAAAGAGAUCAAAAUAUGACGGUGUUGAAGUUUUGUUUGAUCUUUAAUGGCAAAUUUAACUAGUAGUAUUAUUAUUUUUUAAGCGCCUUGCAUUAGCUCAGUGAAGAAUUUAUUGAAAGGAAAGAAACAAAAAUACAACAAAGUUAAGGGACAUAAUUAGCCUUACCCUUUAAAAAAACAUAUUUAUUCAAGAAACGUAUAAUACAAAACAAGCUUGCCUCCUACUACUACUAUUACUACUACUACUACUAUUAUUAUUAUUAUUAUUAUUAAAACAGUAACAACAACAAUAAUAAUAAUAAUAAUAAUAAUAAUAAUAAUAAUAAUAAUAAGAAUAAUAAUAAUAAUAAUAAUAAUAAUAAUAUUUUAAUUGAGGAUAAAAGUGAAAUUAUGAAAUUAGGGUGGGAUAAAAUGAGGAGUUUAAUGAAUGAGAAUUUAAGGUGUGUUUACUUCCUAAAUUGGAGAAUCAGAAUACGGAAUUUGAAUUAUUGACAGUGUUUACUUCACAAAAUAAGAGCUGGAAUUAAAAUUGAAAUUGUGCAGGGCCCACAAAUUAAGGAAUCAUUUCCACAAAUUUGAUUUCCGAGGUAUUGGGAAUCAAACUCCAAUUUUUUGAACUACUCAUUUUGCCCCCAUUUAAUUCUCAUAAUUUCUAAAUUGCCCUCAAUCGAGUUUUGUCAUUUUUACAUAUUAGUCCUUGUAUAAUUCAUGAAAACACCCAAAAUUUUAUUAUUAUUUACAAAUAGGGCCUUCAUUAUUUUUUAAUAAUAAUAAUAAUAUUAAUGUCGUCGUCGUCGUGUUGUUAUUAUUAUUAUUAUUAUUAUUUGGGGGGAAAUUCGGAUGCUAACAUGGGUCAAUAACUCAUUGACACAUGGUAAAGAAAGUUAAAAAAGGAAGUCAAUUUGUUUGACUGGACGUCAAGAUAGCUCACAAAUAACUAGGAGAUAAGCUCCCAAAGAAAAGAACAAUUUUGGCAAAACACUUAACAUUAACGGAUAUUAUCGGAAUUUGAAUUUUGGUGAUUAGAGCCAACACAUGAACAAUACAUGCCAUCAUAAGAAAGAACGAAAUAGCCUAAUUUUUGGCUAAGAAAAAAGAACCAGUAAAGCUAAGCAAUGGAGAAAGCCACCUCAACUAUCCUUUGUUGAGUCCUAAAAAGUAGUAGGACUACAAAGUUGGGAGGCUGCUAGGUGUCCAACUGUGGAAGCAAAAAAGUGGCUGAAAGAUUUCCUUACCUCUCAAAUUCAUAGGUGUCACCAUCAAAGGAUUACAAGACCGAUUACUCAAAUAACUUUACCUAAGAGAGGUUAGCAAGUAAAUGAAUGCCAUGUGUCCAAAUGGACCAAAAUGACCCUCAAGCACACUCCACAAAAGCUCAAGGGUAUCACCAAAAUGAGUAACUUCUUUAUUAUGGGGGAGAAAAAGGAGCUUAAUCUUCUCCUUCCUUAGAGCUAAGAACACUAUUGUCAAAGCUUCAUGGGCUCUUAGACCUUGAGGCUACUACUUUGUCACCCUAAAUCUUACUUCAGCGGCUAGAUCCACCUCUAACCUUGGUUUGCUUAAUUUUGCAUGUUCACACAGCUCAAAGGUUUGUGGUUUCAUCUUCAUUUUCGUUUUAUUUUCACCCCCUCAACAAACACUCAACUCACCCAGCUAUCCCCCUCCAUCUUGCGAGAGCACACCUUAAGUUUAGCAAGGCGCCCUCGUCCCCUUUUAGAUAAACCUAUUUAUUUUAAUCGAAUCCACCAAAAGCUGGCUAAGACAUUAAUUUUAUCAUCAUCAUCAUCAUCAUUAUAUUAAUAUUAUUAGUUAUUGAAACUUAUAAUUUUUAUUAUUUUAAUUAUUGUUAUAAUCAAAAUUUAUUAAUUCAAUUAGUUAAUUAAUAUUAUUUUCAUUGUUUCAUUAUUUUUAUUAUUAUUAUUAUUAUAAAAAUUUAUUGAAUUUUAUUAUUAUUAUUAUUAUUAAAAAUAUAUUAACUUUAUUCUUUUAAUUGUUAUUUAUUAUUUUUAUUAAUAUUAUCAUUAUUGAAAUCUAUUAAUUUUAUUUUUGUAAUCAUCAUCAUCAUCAUCAUUAUUGUUGUAAUCAAAAUUUAUUAAUUUUUAUUAUUAUUUAAAAUAUAUUAAUUUUUAUUAAUUAAUUUUAUUAGUAUUAUCAUUAUUAGAGCCUAUUAAUUUAUUAUUGUUAUAUUAGAAAGUAUAUUAAAUUUAUUAUUUUAAUUGUUGUUUAUUAUUUUUAUUAAUAUAUAAUUAUUAAAGUCCAUUAAUUAUUAUUAUUUUAACUCUUAAUAUUUAGGAAAAAUUUGACCGUUGGAUUCACAUCAAUGGCUUUCGAAACUUUCCACGAAAAUUGACUGUGGACACUGUGGGGAUAGAUGAUUCACCCUAGGGGAAACAAGAAACAAAAGCCCAACUCUCAUGUAAUUUAGCCCAAUUUUAAUGUCAUUACAGAGAUGAGUGGGAUUGUUAGCACCCUCCAUUGAUCUCUUAAAAACUUGUUUGUAUAAUUACAAAUAUUUAUUAAAAGAAUAUUACCAUAAUAGACAAAUAAACAGACAUAGUCUAAUUGAAUUAGGAAAUGAUUUCAUAUGAAACUCUUUAUACUAACUUGCAGUUUUUUCACGUCGAAGGAGAAUAGGUGAAGUGGGUAAAAGCAUCUUAUAACAUUCUCAAAGAAGAAAUCUUUAUGACACAUUUUUGACGUGCUGCAAUUUUUUUGGUCCCAAGAACUUUAAGCAUACAAAAGAAAAGAGUGGAUUCUCUGAUUUCCACCAUUUUUUAGGAUGAUAAAUCAAUAUUAUUUCAGAUGAUUUGUUGUAAGUUUUGUGACUCUCAUUACCAAAGGAUCCUUAGCAAUCACCCCCUCCUAACCAACAUCAGAUCAAUCAUAUUACUCAUAUAACAAUUGAGAGAACAAAUCUCAGAGGUUCAUAUUAAAAAAUAUUGAAACAAAUUCUCCUUUUUAAUUAUGUUCAUUGUGAAAAUAGAGAGAAAAAUAUAUAAGACUUUGAAUUAUAAGUAAAUCAUUGUUGAAAAAAAAAAAAGCAUUAGUUUUGAGCUAUAGCCUAUAAGCAGUUAGUUGAUUCACAUGAAAACAAAAAAUUCAACGAAAUCUUGUUCGUGAGAGGGUGAACAGUAAGAGAGGGAUAUCGAGAGUUUUGUUUACAACUGUAGAUAUGAUUUGACUAAACAGACAAAAUAUAAUAAUAAUAAUAAUAAUAAUAAUAAUAAUAAUAAUAAUAAUAAUAAUAAUAAUAAUAAUAAUAAUAAUAAUAAUAAUAAUUAGGAAAAUAAGUUGAGAAAGAGACAACGAGACCUGUAAAUGCGGUUUACGGUAAAGGGCUAGUUUUUUCGGGACGUACAAAGGUGUUAAAAGCAAUUGUACGAUGUUUUAAAUUUUCUAGUGCUACUUCUUUAGUAGAGGGGUUUUUAGGGGUCAUAAGAUGGAGUUGUGCUAAUAGCACCGCGAUUUUGCCCAAUUCUUAAAUAAAAUCAAGACUUGUAAGUCUCAUGUUAACCUCCAAAAUUAUUUAUUUAUUUAUUUUGAGAGGUCCAAAAUUGUUUCCAUGCUCUAAUUUUAAGUUAAAAAAAUUAUUUAUAAAAUAUCGACAACUUUAAUUGAAUACUUUAUGAUCAUAAUUAAACAAAUUUCCAUGAACAACAAAAACUUAAACUCCAGUUUCUUUAAGUUAAAUUUUAUGAUUCUUAUGCUUCAUUAAUUUCUCUAACAGCUAAGUUACAUAACCCUCUAUUUCUCUACUCCUCCCUCACAACUUUGUAAUCGUGCGCUUUCUUCAACAAACCAUUUGGUCUAAACUCUGGAAAUUAAUGAUGCUCCAGAGUCCCUCCAAACCUCACGUGCUUUGUUAAAAAAAAGAAACACAUGAAAAUAAAAGUAAACUCAAGAAAUACAAGUACCUCCAAAAAGAAUUAUAACUCCGGAAAAUAGGGGUUAAAAAAAUUGAAGCAACAUGUGUCCGGGUCACAAUAAUGGACACUUGGCGAACCCUUUAGGAUAAUAAAUUUUAGACACAUGAAAAUUUUGAUAACUUUACUAUCCCAUUAAAUUCUCUCUUUUAUUGUUCCACUUGCAUGCUUUCUCACAAAUCCUAACUUGAGUUUUGGAUAGUCUUUACAAGUACGUCUCCAUGCAUUUUCAUUUAAACUCUUAGGACAGAAGCGUAAAUCCAAUUAGUGAAGGUAAAAAACAGUCCCUUCACAAGCAAAGAAAGGUUACAAAAGCCUCGAUCAAGUGUUCUCUAAAUAAAACCCCUUGAUCUGCAACUUGACCAGGUCGAAUCGAAUCCACGAUGCGGAAGAAGAUGCAACAAAUGGCAAGUGUCAAUCAUAAGUUUAAAAACAAUUAAAAGAAGUAGGGCUUGGAAGACAGCCACCAUUAAGUAUGUCUAUAAUUUAGAAUAUUUCAAUACAUCAUUUCUCAAAUAGUUAAUAUGAUAUUGUAAGAUUCCUGCUUAUCCUCUUUUACUAUACUUUAUUGUAAGAAUAAUUCUUCAUGAUGCUCAUCCUCUUUUACUAUAUUAUAAUUGGCUGUCAAAACAGGUAGAAUUUCCCAAUUAUUUAAAAUAUAAUCACUUUCCACAUGAAUCCCACUUACCAAGCCAAGUCCAAACAAGGAAAACUAAAGAGAAAAUCAAAUAAUUGUUUUAUGCAAUAGUUUCGUACAAAUAAGUUCAUAUUUCACGAGGCGAUUCAGAAUCUAAAACUUCACAUUGUGAAAGUUUUAAAGUUAAAAAAAAAAACCUUUAUGUUAACUAAUCCGUUAAAAAAAAAAAGGAAAAAAGCCUUUAGAUACCCACCAUUUGAGAAUAAUCCAAAACAUAGAUUUUUCUUUUCCAUAUUCUGGUGACGAGUUGAUGCAGCUUAAAUGGUCUUUUCUAACAGACCCUCUCUUUCAAUGACUAUCACACCUACGAAAUUCAAACAACAAUAGAAGAAGACGAAAAAAAAAAGUUAGCUUUCAGUAAAUGUUUAACAAACAAAAACAACUUUAAUUUUGCAAAAGGAAAUCAAUAAAUUCUUAUGCAUGCUUUGUCUAAUCAAAGACAGAGAAAUUCCGAAUCUAAAAUCUCAAAGAUUAAACAUAAAUACGUAAAUACGAUAAUUUUUCACAGUUGGAAAAAAAAAAAGACAGCUAAAUACCAAAAAUAAAAAGAAUCUAGAUGCAUACUUAACGUUUAAUAAAUUGUAGACGCAAUUAAUUUUAACUCCUAAAAAAAAUAUACAAUACACUACGUAUCUAAAAAGAAAUUAUUGAAAAAAGAAUUCACAAUUAAUUGAGAUUUGUUUGGGAACUUUUUGUCAACUGAUGAAGACAUGAACCGCAACUUUGAACAGUUUUUAGAAUAGAGAACAACAAAUUAAACUAAUAACAUUCAUUUUAGCUUAAUGUGUUUGGGAUGAAAAAGGGAGCAAAAGUUAAUGUAGUCUUAGGCAAUUUUUUUAGGGACUAAUAAAAUUGUUAUAGACAUUUAAAAAAUUAAUUUUUGUUAUUUUUUGUGACAAUUUUUAAAAUAUGCCUUUAUUUACAAAAAAAAAAGGAUUGAUACCAGAAAAAUAAAUUUAAUUCUUCUUUAAAAUAUAGUUAUAUACGUCCAUAUAUUAUUAUUUGCCGAGCCUUCUUUUAAUGUGUCAAAAAAUUUAUCUAUCUUGACAAUCCAUUUUUAUUAGACCGACUUAUGUAUCGCUAAAUUACAUGAUAAAUUUUGUUUGUCUUAUCCAAAAUCGAAAUGAAAGAAAAGGGUAUUUUGGCCUUUUUGAAAAAAACUCUUAACAGCUGUGAUGAAACUACAGAACAGAGGUCUUUUUCAAAAAAUGUAAUGACCCCCUCCCAGGAUGAAUAAAAAGCGCCAACCCGUAAGCGCGUGGUUCCUCAAGUGAACACUAGUUCUGCUAAAUCUCUCUGCCAAAUAUCUUCCAAUCCGAUUUUAAAAACAUCUGAAAACAUUUUCCGAUGGCCGCCGAGAACAAAACCGAACUGCCCUCUGGCUCUGUUGAUGGGAUCCCCAAAGACGCCGAUGAGUCUGUGAAGGCCGCGAAGUGGGGUACCACCGGAGCUUUCCCUUUUGAAGUCGCCACAAGGGCUCCCAAUCGGUCCGAUGCUCUCAAGACGGUCUCUGAUAUGCUUGAAAGCAGAGGGGUCAAAGUUGUUGGCCAGAAGAUUGAGAAGAAUGGUUCGAUCUCGAUGAAUUUGAAGUUGCCAGAUGGCGGUGAGUCGGAGAUCGUUGUUGCCGAUCAGCAUCGGCCGCUUCCUAAUUCUGAAUCUGAGAUCUGGUAUAAGAAAGGCAUCGGCUUCUUGAAGGCUGCCAUGGUCAUUGAGUUUACUGGAGAAGACAAGAAGGAGAUGCUGGUCAAGCUGUCCAAUCUUCCGCCUGAGUUUGAGAUAAAGGAUGUGGAGAUUGAGGUUGAAAAGCGCAAGCUGGUUUUGAAGCUGAUCACUGAGCUUGAAGAGAACAGGGAGCUCGUGAGGUCUGAGGAGUUGCCAGUUGAUGCGACUGGGAGUGCGGUCUCGACUUUGAUGGAGGGUCGAACCCUCGUUCUCAAAUUUACUCUUGAGAAACCGAAGCCGGAGGAGAAGCCCAAGUCAAUAAUCUCAAAGAUUUGGCGAUUUGCAAAAGGAGCCGUGAAGAAAGCAGGGCCAGCCUGUGUGGCUGUGGGUGCGAAGAUGGGUUUCGAUGAAAUGAAUAAUGAUGAACCCAACGCCGAGCCCGAGGCCGAGCAAGAGUGAAAGUACGCUGCUAAAUUAGCUUCCAUACCCCUCAUGCUGUUGUGUGUUAACGAUUAGGAGGUUUGAAUAAAUUCUAGAAGAGAUAUAGCUGUUUGUUUGUUUUCUAUAUUAGGAAACUUUUUUAGUGUUUUUUCUUCAUUUCAUUUGAAAGAACUUAUUUUACGCAAAAUAGAGAGAAUUUGUGGAUUGUCGUCAGUGUUAAAGAGCUUGUUUUAAUGCACUUUGGGAUAUAUUCGCUGUUUUGGAAAUGAUGACAUUAGGCAUUAAUCAUGAUUUGAUUUGAUUUGAUUUGUGGUAGUGAAAACGCAUUUGAAACCAUAAUAGUUAAAAUGUUUUUGGAUUUUCGUGCUAGCUCUGUAAUCUCUUUGUGUCAUUUAUUAUUGAUUGAUUGUUUUUACCGAAAGAUUGAAGGUAAUGUAGACUGUAUAGAUAUCAACAAUGCCAGCUAUGGUCAGGCUAUGAUGUACCCGUUGCCCCAUAACCCUGAAAAUUUUUAUUUUUGCGCCUUGUACUUUGUCUGAAAUAGCUUUGAUUUGGGAGAUUUUGCCUACAGGUGAAGAUAUAGAGAUGAGUACUGAUAUUCAAAGCGAGCCAGCCGACCAAAUUUGCUGACAAACCAGCAAAACAGUACCCUUUUUGGCUGGCUCUCAUUCACAACCGUUUUCAGCCAGCCAAAAACGGGACUGUUUUGCUUGUUUGUCAGCAAAUUCGAUCAACUGACUCGGUUUGAUUAUCAUUUUCCUAUAAAGUUAGUCUUGAUAAUUGCAGUUUGGUGCAUUGAGUAGUCUUACAUAUUAAAGGUGGUCUGCGAACCCGUUGAUAUGAGAGUUUGAGGAUAAUGAUAAAGGUUUGCAACGUGCGAUUGGGGUUGUUAGGACAGGUCUGUCAGUGUCUUGAUGGCGAAGGAACUGUUUAAGGUUUAAGUUGACCUUUGAGGCUCUCGAAGCUUGUAUAAGUGUCAGGUUGGUUGCAAAGGCUUAUAGGCAUGAAAAGCUAUGUCUUUAAGGUAGUUUUGAGAGUGGUGGCUACUGAAAAUUCAUUGGAAAAUUAGCUCAUAUAUGAACCAACGGAUUAUAUUGUUGUACCAGUUUCUUGAAGUCCAGGAGAUUGAAAUUAGGGUUUUUGCAGGUUUGGUCAAGAAUUGAGGGCUGUUUCUUCAUCAAGGACAAGAGUUUUAUAUAUGGUAGAACGCUAAAGGUGUAAGAUGGUUAAGGAAAGUUUUGUGUAAUUGUUGAAAUGUAUGAACUAAUACUGAUGGAAUACCUCCAUUUAUAAGUUUAGGAGAUGAACCCAUCAUAUUAAGAUAGCUUGAAACCUAAUUAAGCUGCAAGAGGUAGGGAUAUGGGCUAGUAAUCAUGAUUUUCAUUUUCUCUAUAAUGUAUGAAAAGAUCACUUUCAUCCAUAAGGUAGGAUUUGUGUUCCCCUAGUAUAUGCUUUGCCGACAGCUAUGGAUGAGAAGAGAAGUUGCAGAUAGAAUUACUGUUUAACUAGAUCAUAAAUUAUGUAGAAGUCUAAACUGCAUUCUGCAUGCAUUGAUAUUUUUCUUUGGGAUAUUAUGUAGUAGCUAUAGAUAUUUUGCAUUACCUUUCAUCUUUGUGCUAGAAAUUGGAUUUCACCGAAUGAAUGCAAUAAGAAAUUAUUGUACUUUGAUAUUCUGUUUUGGAAGGGAUGAGAUUGGACAUUAAUCUUGAUUGAUAUGCGGUUUGAAAACUGAUUUCAAACGGAAGUAGAAUUAACAUGGCUGGACAGUUUAAUACAUGAUCAUGUUAAAGUUAGCCAAUUGCCCUGACUCUUUUAUCCUUCUGCACUUAUGAGUCUAAAGCCAUGUCAUUACUCUACUGGGUUAAAUUAGAUGAGUUUCACUGCUGGGUUUCUUUAUUCAGUACAGGAUCGAGAGUGUUUAGUUACCAGUCAAGCUACAUGCAUACAUAUGGUUUGUGUUUUUUAAAGUGGAGCCUUCUUUGAAGAUAAUGACAGUACAGUCUUCUUUGACUGAAAGGAAUUGCAUGUUCUUCCACAACUUUGGUGUAUGUUAAACUUUCAAUAUAUCCAUUGAAGAUAACUACAAAAUUAAAGGGGCUGUUUGAAGAGGUACAUAGUACUUGCUAGGAAAGCAUCCAUUUAAACAACAGAUUGGUCAUACUCUAAAGCUAACUUAAUUAAAGGAUGGGGAUUGACACUACAUAAUCUAAGGGUAUAUUUGUCUCUACACUUAUCAGACUCCCUAGCUUGAUCUUGAUUUUGAGUUUUUAAAGAAUCUUACAAUGAUCCAAUAAAUGUAAAAAUCCUAAACAAAGAAAAUAGAAGAAGAAGACGAAGGGUAGAUUAAUUCAAAAAAAAGAAAAAGAACUGCAUUAGUAAAAUAUUUCCGGCCCUUUAAUCCUAAAGUUUUAUUUAGUUUUAAAUGACUCGCUUGAUUUCUCCAUCAUUUAAAAUCUAUUUGAACCCAAACUAUAAGGAAUAAGGAUAAUUAUUGCGAAAAUGGGCACAUGCGCACAUUCUUUAAAACUUAUUUUAUAUUCAUGUUUCCAAAUUCAAAGUAACGACAAGAAGAAACCAAAACGACGAGGAAGAAAGCAUGCGAAAAAUUUCGGAAAAAACAAGAGAAGAAUGUACUUAAUGAGUUCAAUCGAAAUUUUUUAGGCUCGACAAAUAUAUUUAUGGUUGCAAAAGAAGAAUGUAAAUAUUUAUUUAAUAAGAUUUAGUGGAAGACGGUCCUGAUAUUUACAAGAGUGUGUAGAGGAAGAUAUAAUUUUUAAAAAUUUAUCUCUAUUUUGUAAAGUAAAAGUGUUCAGGCCCCACUAUAAAUUAUUUAUAUCUUAUUUCAGUGAAGCUGACGAUCUCCUGCUCCAUCAAUCGGAAUUCAUAGAAUAAUUGAAUAAUAAUUUAAUUAAGUUUAUCUUAAACAAUGCAUUUUACAUAUUGGACUCAUAUGAACGCGAGAUUAUGUAUUGAACCAUAGACUGAAAAUUAGAAAAUUCGAAGCAUGUGUAAUACAUAAUCCAAGGAAAAAGAGACCGACAAACUCCAGUAAACCUAUGCUCUGACCUGGAGCCCACCAUUAACAAUUAUGUGUGUGUGUGUAUGUUUGUAAAAAUUGACGUAUAUGGGCAUAACUCAUCUCGUCAUAUUCAAAACCUAACCUAAAUUAAUUUAAUAGUUGAGGCCUGUCAAAUGUUUAUAUUAUUAGUCUAAUUACUAUCUUCAGCUAACUGUUAAUGGGUGUGGGUUGUUUCAAAUUUAUAUUAGUAGUGCAGUAACUAUCCUUAGUCCAUUUGGCAUAAUAUCCUCAACCCCAUCAUGUACAAGCAGAAGCGGACUUAAAACUUUAAUUUAGAGGACUUAGUACUAAAAUAAUUUAAAAAGUUUUAGGAGAGAUGAUGAAAGUGAAAAAUGAUGGCAACAUGUUGAUAGCAGUGACAUCCAUAAAUUAAGGAUUAAAGACUUAAGGCGACUUUGGGUGAAAAACUAAAGUUUUUUCAUCCCAAUCAAACUAAGAUUAGAAAAGAAAACCUCCUUUUCUAGUGAUAAAGGGUACUGAGAAAAAGAAGGAUAUUAAAGUUUUUCAGAAAAUGAGAAACGUGAAAGAUAAGUAGAAUAGUACAUAUUAUACACACACACAAAUAAUAACUAACAUAAAGGAUUUAGAGGUAGAAAUGAUUUGCUUAAAUAAUAUAAAUGAAAAGUUGUUAAUUAGAGUAUGAAAAUCAUUAUAAGAGAAAAUUUGGAAAUAAGUCGAGGUAUAUGGAGAAAUUUAAAUCAUUUAACUAAUUAAUUUUAGUUGUAGAAUGGUGAUAUCGGCACACGUCUAGUGUCCUUUUAAAACCCUUGUUAGUUUUCUUCAAAAUUUUUCCAAUAAGUAAAAUCUGCCUUAGUGCAAACUACAAAGCGACAAAAGGAAGUUUGAAGACCCACUUGCAGUUACCUCUUUGCCAAUAACAACACUGAUUUACACCGAUUAAAAUAAAUUAUCUUUGAUAAUCUAUACUCAAAUACGAGGGUCCAGCUGUCUUGGCACUUGGGCUAAUAACCCAGGAGUUUUGUCUUCAUUCGAAGUUGCCGUUAGGGCUUAAUCCAACAGUUGUUUAAGAAAUGGUUAAAAGUUGAACUUGUAUGGGGUUACCGUAUAAUUCUAUAAACAUAUGUCAUUAAUUACAAGCAGAGAUUUCAUUUACAAAGAGCAUUUGAAGUGCGUAUUUUUGAAGAUGGAACCCAAGAAUUUUGGUGAACUAUAAAAGUAUAAAGUGAGUGUAGUUCAAUCUUUUCAAUAGCAAAUUAAAAUGAGCUAAAAUAGAAAGAGGAGAGUAGAAGGGAUAGAAUAUGUGUGUCGCCGUAUGGCUUAAAAAUAUCGCUGAAAGCAAACGAUCACAAAUCUAGAAAUAAAAAAAUUAAUUUUCAAAUUAAUUGCAUUGCGUAAAUGUGCAACUUUUGCAGUUCGAUUCCAAAAAGCAAAGAGCUGCAGAGAUAUUAAUAAAAAAUGAAGUGCUGACACAUUUAAGUUUUGGGUUUCAAAUUCAUUGUACGUUGAUGUAAAUGUGAGACAUUGCAGCUCGAUUCCAAAAUGCAAAGAGAUGCAGAGAUGUUGAAACAUUUGAGUUUUAGGAAAUCAAAAAUUCUAUAUUUAUUUGGAUGGAAAUUUAAGACUUUCAUUAUUGAUAUUUUAGUCAUUGUGUAAGUAAUAUGGCAACAAAAGGAUUAAAUACAUAAAAGUUUAGCUCAAAUUGAAAAUAUUCUCAAAAUUUACAUCAAUUUUAAAAAUGGUGAGGGAUGUCUUUGAAAUAAAUAUGAUAAUAUGAUCUUUGUGAUUAAAGUGUUGCAACCUAAACCUCGAAAAUUUCCAUUCUUUUUUGCUUUUUAUAUUGAAUAUUUUUUUUUAAUGCAAAGGGUGGAUAAAGACUACAAUUAUUUUUUAACUCCUUACCUACUCCAAGAGUUAAAUCUAAAUAGUUAAUUAAAUAAAACGUCUUUAAAAUUAUUAAACCAUACUUUGUGGUAAUUACAAGUUGUUAAUUUAUGAGCAUUUCGAUUGUGAAAAGUGAAACAAUAUUUUAGGAGAUUAGUCUAUUUUUGCAAUAAAAUCAAACAAUAAUAUAUGUCAAAUGUAAAGCCAUUAUUAUCACAUGGCCGGUCCCACGGGCCACGGAGGAGAGAACACAAGGCAAAAGCAAACAAAAGCAAGAAUAAUGCUGCUGGACUAGAGCGCUGAUAUUUGAAUCAAAUAAUCUAACAGUGGAUAAGAUAGUGUUACACUCAUGUCGAACUGUAGUGUUAAUUGAAAAAUUAACACAAUUUUUUAAUUAUCGCUGUGGCUGCACACAGAUGUGAUAUUGUUUUCGUUGCCAUUGUGUCACUGCUUUAUCGUUUAUUGUUGCACUAUUAAAUUCAAAGUUGAAGCUGACGUGGGGCCGCCACCUUGUUCGUCCACUUUCGUAUAUCUCUCUUUCAAACACAUUCUUGAGCGUCCUUCAAAUCUUUAGCUCUCUCUCCGACGGACUUGCUCUUUCUCUAUCCCUUUUUUUUCCCCUUCCUCCCCCUGCUUAUGGUUUUUUGUCCUUCUACUUUUAAAGAUUUUAUAUCCGUAAUUUUUAAAAUCAGUAAUAGUUAGUCGUUAGUAAACUUUUUAUUUAAUGAUGAUGAUGAUGAUAUCGUUAUUAUUUUUAUUUUGAGAGAUGGUGAAAGAAAGUUAUUCAUUUUUUAAUUUAAUACUGUAUUAGAAAAUAAUGAAAAAAAUAGUUUUUUUUAAUUUUCUUUAUUAAAAGUGUAGAAUGAAUUUCACAUUUUUAAAAAUAUUUUUAGAAAUGAUCUACUAACAAAUAUUUGGUGUUUCCUAAAUUUAAAAAAUAGAAAAUAAGAUUUGGAAACAAUACUGAAUGCAUCCUAAGUUUAUUCUCACAAAAAUAAGGAUUGAAGUAAAAAUUACCAAGAAAUCAAAAUAUGACGGUGUUGAAGUUUUGUUUGAUCUUUAAUGGCAAAUUUAAUUAGUAGUAUUAUUAUUUUUUAAGCGCCUUGCAUUAGCUCAGUGAAGAAUUUAUUGAAAGGAAAGAAACAAAAAUACAACAAAGUUAAGGGACAUAAUUAGCCUUACCCUUUAAAAAAAUAUAUUUAUUCAAGAAACAUAUAAUACAAAAAAAGCUUGCCUCCUCCUCCUCCUCCUCCUCCUCCUACUACUACUACUACAACUAUUAUUAUUAAAACAGUAACAACAACAACAAUAAUAAUAAUAAUAAUAAUAAUAAUAAUAUUUUAAUUGAGGAUAAAAGUGAAAUUAUGAAAUUAGGGUGGGAUAAAAUGAGGAGUUUAAUAAAUGAGAAUUUAAGGUGUGUUUACUUCUUAAAUUGGAGAAUCAGAAUACGGAAUUGGAAUUAUUGACAGUGUUUACUUCACAAAAUAAGAGCUAGAAUUAAAAUUGGAAUUGUGCAGGGCCCACAAAUUUAGGAAUCAUUUCCACAAAUUUGAUUUCCGAGGGUAUUGGGAAUCAGACUCCAAUUUUUUGAACUACUCAUUUUGCCCCCAUUUAAUUCUCAUAAUUUCUAAAUUGCCCUCAAUUGAGUUUUGUCAUUUUUACAUAUUAGUCCUUGUAUAAUUUAUGAAAACACCCAAAAUUUUAUUAUUAUUUACAAAUAGGGCCUUCAUUAUUUUUUAAUAAUAAUAAUAAUAGUAUUAAUGCCGUCGUCGUCGUGUUGNNNNNNNNNNNNNNNNNNNNNNNNNNNNNNNNNNNNNNNNNNNNNNNNNNNNNNNNNNNNNNNNNNNNNNNNNNNNNNNNNNNNNNNNNNNNNNNNNNNNNNNNNNNNNNNNNNNNNNNNNNNNNNNNNNNNNNNNNNNNNNNNNNNNNNNNNNNNNNNNNNNNNNNNNNNNNNNNNNNNNNNNNNNNNNNNNNNNNNNNNNNNNNNNNNNNNNNNNNNNNNNNNNNNNNNNNNNNNNNNNNNNNNNNNNNNNNNNNNNNNNNNNNNNNNNNNNNNNNNNNNNNNNNNNNNNNNNNNNNNNNNNNNNNNNNNNNNNNNNNNNNNNNNNNNNNNNNNNNNNNNNNNNNNNNNNNNNNNNNNNNNNNNNNNNNNNNNNNNNNNNNNNNNNNNNNNNNNNNNNNNNNNNNNNNNNNNNNNNNNNNNNNNNNNNNNNNNNNNNNNNNNNNNNNNNNNNNNNNNNNNNNNNNNNNNNNNNNNNNNNNNNNNNNNNNNNNNNNNNNNNNNNNNNNNNNNNNNNNNNNNNNNNNNNNNNNNNNNNNNNNNNNNNNNNNNNNNNNNNNNNNNNNNNNNNNNNNNNNNNNNNNNNNNNNNNNNNNNNNNNNNNNNNNNNNNNNNNNNNNNNNNNNNNNNNNNNNNNNNNNNNNNNNNNNNNNNNNNNNNNNNNNNNNNNNNNNNNNNNNNNNNNNNNNNNNNNNNNNNNNNNNNNNNNNNNNNNNNNNNNNNNNNNNNNNNNNNNNNNNNNNNNNNNNNNNNNNNNNNNNNNNNNNNNNNNNNNNNNNNNNNNNNNNNNNNNNNNNNNNNNNNNNNNNNNNNNNNNNNNNNNNNNNNNNNNNNNNNNNNNNNNNNNNNNNNNNNNNNNNNNNNNNNNNNNNNNNNNNNNNNNNNNNNNNNNNNNNNNNNNNNNNNNNNNNNNNNNNNNNNNNNNNNNNNNNNNNNNNNNNNNNNNNNNNNNNNNNNNNNNNNNNNNNNNNNNNNNNNNNNNNNNNNNNNNNNNNNNNNNNNNNNNNNNNNNNNNNNNNNNNNNNNNNNNNNNNNNNNNNNNNNNNNNNNNNNNNNNNNNNNNNNNNNNNNNNNNNNNNNNNNNNNNNNNNNNNNNNNNNNNNNNNNNNNNNNNNNNNNNNNNNNNNNNNNNNNNNNNNNNNNNNNNNNNNNNNNNNNNNNNNNNNNNNNNNNNNNNNNNNNNNNNNNNNNNNNNNNNNNNNNNNNNNNNNNNNNNNNNNNNNNNNNNNNNNNNNNNNNNNNNNNNNNNNNNNNNNNNNNNNNNNNNNNNNNNNNNNNNNNNNNNNNNNNNNNNNNNNNNNNNNNNNNNNNNNNNNNNNNNNNNNNNNNNNNNNNNNNNNNNNNNNNNNNNNNNNNNNNNNNNNNNNNNNNNNNNNNNNNNNNNNNNNNNNNNNNNNNNNNNNNNNNNNNNNNNNNNNNNNNNNNNNNNNNNNNNNNNNNNNNNNNNNNNNNNNNNNNNNNNNNNNNNNNNNNNNNNNNNNNNNNNNNNNNNNNNNNNNNNNNNNNNNNNNNNNNNNNNNNNNNNNNNNNNNNNNNNNNNNNNNNNNNNNNNNNNNNNNNNNNNNNNNNNNNNNNNNNNNNNNNNNNNNNNNNNNNNNNNNNNNNNNNNNNNNNNNNNNNNNNNNNNNNNNNNNNNNNNNNNNNNNNNNNNNNNNNNNNNNNNNNNNNNNNNNNNNNNNNNNNNNNNNNNNNNNNNNNNNNNNNNNNNNNNNNNNNNNNNNNNNNNNNNNNNNNNNNNNNNNNNNNNNNNNNNNNNNNNNNNNNNNNNNNNNNNNNNNNNNNNNNNNNNNNNNNNNNNNNNNNNNNNNNNNNNNNNNNNNNNNNNNNNNNNNNNNNNNNNNNNNNNNNNNNNNNNNNNNNNNNNNNNNNNNNNNNNNNNNNNNNNNNNNNNNNNNNNNNNNNNNNNNNNNNNNNNNNNNNNNNNNNNNNNNNNNNNNNNNNNNNNNNNNNNNNNNNNNNNNNNNNNNNNNNNNNNNNNNNNNNNNNNNNNNNNNNNNNNNNNNNNNNNNNNNNNNNNNNNNNNNNNNNNNNNNNNNNNNNNNNNNNNNNNNNNNNNNNNNNNNNNNNNNNNNNNNNNNNNNNNNNNNNNNNNNNNNNNNNNNNNNNNNNNNNNNNNNNNNNNNNNNNNNNNNNNNNNNNNNNNNNNNNNNNNNNNNNNNNNNNNNNNNNNNNNNNNNNNNNNNNNNNNNNNNNNNNNNNNNNNNNNNNNNNNNNNNNNNNNNNNNNNNNNNNNNNNNNNNNNNNNNNNNNNNNNNNNNNNNNNNNNNNNNNNNNNNNNNNNNNNNNNNNNNNNNNNNNNNNNNNNNNNNNNNNNNNNNNNNNNNNNNNNNNNNNNNNNNNNNNNNNNNNNNNNNNNNNNNNNNNNNNNNNNNNNNNNNNNNNNNNNNNNNNNNNNNNNNNNAUAAGCUCCCAAAGAAAAGAACACAUUUUGGCAAAACACUUAACAUUAACGGAUAUUAUCGGAAUUUGAAUUUUGGUGAUUAGAGCCCACACAUGAACCAUACCUGCCAUCCUAAGAAAGAACCAAAUAGCCUAAUUUUUGGCUAAGAAAAAAGAACCAGUAAAGCUAAGCAAUGGAGAAAGCCACCCUCACUAUCCUUUGUUGAGUCCUAAAAAGUAGUAGGACUACAAAGUUGGGAGGCUGCUAGGUGUCCAACUGUGGAAGCAAAAAAGUGGCUGAAAGAUUUCCUUACCUCUCAAAUUCAUAGGUGUCACCAUCAAAGGAUUACAAGACCGAUUACUCAAAUAACUUUACCUAAGAGAGGUUAGCAAGUAAAUGAAUGCCAUGUGUCCAAAUGGACCAAAAUGACCCUCAAGCACACUCCACAAAAGCUCAAGGGUAUCACCAAAAUGAGUAACUUCUUUAUUAUGGGGGAGAAAAAGGAGCUUAAUCUUCUCCUUCCUUAGAGCUAAGAACACUAUUGUCAAAGCUUCAUGGGCUCUUAGACCUUGAGGCUACUACUUUGUCACCCUAAAUCUUACUUCAGCGGCUAGAUCCACCUCUAACCUUGGUUUGCUUAAUUUUGCAUGUUCACACAGCUCAAAGGUUUGUGGUUUCAUCUUCAUUUUCGUUUUAUUUUCACCCCCUCAACAAACACUCAACUCACCCAGCUAUCCCCCUCCAUCUUGCGAGAGCACACCUUAAGUUUAGCAAGGCGCCCUCGUCCCCUUUUAGAUAAACCUAUUUAUUUUAAUCGAAUCCACCAAAAGCUGGCUAAGACAUUAAUUUUAUCAUCAUCAUCAUCAUCAUUAUAUUAAUAUUAUUAGUUAUUGAAACUUAUAAUUUUUAUUAUUUUAAUUAUUGUUAUAAUCAAAAUUUAUUAAUUCAAUUAGUUAAUUAAUAUUAUUUUCAUUGUUUCAUUAUUUUUAUUAUUAUUAUUAUUAUAAAAAUUUAUUGAAUUUUAUUAUUAUUAUUAUUAUUAAAAAUAUAUUAACUUUAUUCUUUUAAUUGUUAUUUAUUAUUUUUAUUAAUAUUAUCAUUAUUGAAAUCUAUUAAUUUUAUUUUUGUAAUCAUCAUCAUCAUCAUCAUUAUUGUUGUAAUCAAAAUUUAUUAAUUUUUAUUAUUAUUUAAAAUAUAUUAAUUUUUAUUAAUUAAUUUUAUUAGUAUUAUCAUUAUUAGAGCCUAUUAAUUUAUUAUUGUUAUAUUAGAAAGUAUAUUAAAUUUAUUAUUUUAAUUGUUGUUUAUUAUUUUUAUUAAUAUAUAAUUAUUAAAGUCCAUUAAUUAUUAUUAUUUUAACUCUUAAUAUUUAGGAAAAAUUUGACCGUUGGAUUCACAUCAAUGGCUUUCGAAACUUUCCACGAAAAUUGACUGUGGACACUGUGGGGAUAGAUGAUUCACCCUAGGGGAAACAAGAAACAAAAGCCCAACUCUCAUGUAAUUUAGCCCAAUUUUAAUGUCAUUACAGAGAUGAGUGGGAUUGUUAGCACCCUCCAUUGAUCUCUUAAAAACUUGUUUGUAUAAUUACAAAUAUUUAUUAAAAGAAUAUUACCAUAAUAGACAAAUAAACAAACAUAGUCUAAUUGAAUUAGGAAAUGAUUUCAUAUGAAACUCUUUAUACUAACUUGCAGUUUUUUCACGUCGAAGGAGAAUAGGUGAAGUGGGUAAAAGCAUCUUAUAACAUUCUCAAAGAAGAAAUCUUUAUGACACAUUUUUGAUGUAGUGCAAUUUUUUUGGUCCCAAGAACUUUAAGCAUACAAAAGAAAAGAGUGGAUUCUCAUAUUUCCACCAUUUUUGAGGAUGAUAAAUCAAUAUUAUUUCAGAUGAUUUGUUGUAAGUUUUGUGAAUCUCAUUACCAAAGGAUCCUUAGCAAUCACCCCCUCCUAACCAACAUCAGAUCAAUCAUAUUACUUAUAUAACAAUUGAGAGAACAAAUCUCAGAGGUUCAUAUUAAAAAAUAUUGAAACAAAUUCUCCUUUUUAAUUAUGUUCAUUGUGAAAAUAGAGAGAAAAAUAUAUAAGACUUUGAAUUAUAAGUAAAUCAUUGUUGAAAAAAAAAAGCUUUAGUUUUGAGCUAUAGCCUAUAAGCAGUUAGUUGAUUCACAUGAAAACAAAAAAUUCAACGAAAUCUUGUUCGUGAGAGGGUGAACAGUAAGAGAGGGAUAUCGAGAGUUUUGUUUACAACUGUAGAUAUGAUUUGACUAAACAGACAAAAUAUAAUAAUAAUAAUAAUAAUAAUAAUAAUAAUAAUAAUAAUAAUAAUAAUAAUAAUAAUAAUAAUAAUAAUAAUAAUAAUAAUUAGGAAAAUAAGUUGAGAAAGAGACAACGAGACCUGUAAAUGCGGUUUACGGUAAAGGGCUAGUUUUUUCGGGACGUACAAAGGUGUUAAAAGCAAUUGUACGAUGUUUUAAAUUUUCUAGUGCUACUUCUUUAGUAGAGGGGUUUUUAGGGGUCAUAAGAUGGAGUUGUGCUAAUAGCACCGCGAUUUUGCCCAAUUCUUAAAUAAAAUCAAGACUUGUAAGUCUCAUGUUAACCUCCAAAAUUAUUUAUUUAUUUAUUUUGAGAGGUCCAAAAUUGUUUCCAUGCUCUAAUUUUAAGUUAAAAAAAUUAUUUAUAAAAUAUCGACAACUUUAAUUGAAUACUUUAUGAUCAUAAUUAAACAAAUUUCCAUGAACAACAAAAACUUAAACUCCAGUUUCUUUAAGUUAAAUUUUAUGAUUCUUAUGCUUCAUUAAUUUCUCUAACAGCUAAGUUACAUAGCCCUCUAUUUCUCAACUCCUCCCUCACAACUUUGUAAUCGCGCGCUUUCUUCAACAAACCAUUUGGUCUAAACUUUGGAAAUUGAUGAUGCUCCAGAGUCCCUCUAAACCUCACGUGCUUUGUUAAAAAAAAAAAACCACAUGAAAAUAAAAGUAAACUCAAGAAAUACAAGUGCCUCCAAAAAGAAUUAUAACUGCAGACAAUAGGGGUUAAAAAAAUUGAAGCAACGUGUGUGUCCGAGUCACAAUAAUGGACACUUGGCGAACCCUUUAGGAUAAUAAAUUUAUCUUGAGACUUGUUUCUAUAAGCCGGGUAUCACUCACAAUUUUAGACACAUGAAAACUUUGAUAACUUUACUAUCCCAUUAAAUUCUCUCUUUUAUUGUUCCACUUGCAUACUUUCUCACAAAUCCUAACUUGAGUUUUAGAUAGUCUUUACAAGUACGUCUCCAUGCAUUUUCAUUUAAACUCUUAGGACAGAAGCGUAAAUCCAAUUAGUGAAGGUAAAAAACAGUCCCUUCACAAGCAAAGAAAGGUUACAAAAGCCUCGAUCAAGUGUUCUCUAAAUAAAACCCCUUGAUCUGCAACUUGACCAGGUCGAAUCGAAUCCACGAUGCGGAAGAAGAUGCAACAAAUGGCAAGUGUCAAUCAUAAGUUUAAAAACAAUUAAAAGAAGUAGGGCUUGGAAGACAGCCACCAUUAAGUAUGUCUAUAAUUUAGAAUAUUUCAAUACAUCAUUUCUCAAAUAGUUAAUAUGAUAUUGUAAGAUUCCUGCUUAUUCUCUUUUACUAUACUUUAUUGUAAGAAUAAUUCUUCAUGAUGCUCAUCCUCUUUUACUAUAUUAUAAUUGGCUGUCAAAACAGGUAGAAUUUUCCAAUUAUUUAAAAUAUAAUCACUUUCCACAUGAAUCCCACUUACCAAGCCAAGUCCAAACAAGGAAAACUAAAGAGAAAAUCAAAUAAUUGUUUUAUGCAAUAGUUUCGUACAAAUAAGUUCAUAUUUCACGAGGCGAUUCAGAAUCUAAAACUUCACAUUGUGAAAGUUUUAAAGUUAAAAAAAAAAACCUUUAUGUUAACUAAUCCGUUAAAAAAAAAAAGGAAAAAAGCCUUUAGAUACCCACCAUUUGAGAAUAAUCCAAAACAUAGAUUUUUCUUUUCCAUAUUCUGGUGACGAGUUGAUGCAGCUUAAAUGGUCUUUUCUAACAGACCCUCUCUUUCAAUGACUAUCACACCUACGAAAUUCAAACAACAAUAGAAGAAGACGAAAAAAAAAAGUUAGCUUUCAGUAAAUGUUUAACAAACAAAAACAACUUUAAUUUUGCAAAAGGAAAUCAAUAAAUUCUUAUGCAUGCUUUGUCUAAUCAAAGACAGAGAAAUUCCGAAUCUAAAAUCUCAAAGAUUAAACAUAAAUACGUAAAUACGAUAAUUUUUCACAGUUGGAAAAAAAAAAGACAGCUAAAUACCAAAAAUAAAAAGAAUCUAGAUGCAUACUUAACGUUUAAUAAAUUGUAGACGCAAUUAAUUUUAACUCCUAAAAAAAAUAUACAAUACACUACGUAUCUAAAAAGAAAUUAUUGAAAAAAGAAUUCACAAUUAAUUGAGAUUUGUUUGGGAACUUUUUGUCAACUGAUGAAGACAUGAACCGCAACUUUGAACAGUUUUUAGAAUAGAGAACAACAAAUUAAACUAAUAACAUUCAUUUUAGCUUAAUGUGUUUGGGAUGAAAAAGGGAGCAAAAGUUAAUGUAGUCUUAGGCAAUUUUUUUAGGGACUAAUAAAAUUUUAUAGACAUUUAAAAAAUUAAUUUUUUUUAUUUUUUGUGACAAUUUUUAAAAUAUGCCUUUAUUUACAAAAAAAAAGAAUUGAUACCAGAAAAAUAAAUUUAAUUCUUCUUUAAAAUAUAGUUAUAUACGUCCAUAUAUUAUUAUUUGCCGAGCCUUCUUUUAAUGUGUCAAAAAAUUUAUCUAUCUUGACAAUCCAUUUUUAUUAGACCGACUUAUGUAUCGCUAAAUUACAUGAUAAAUUUUGUUUGUCUUAUCCAAAAUCGAAAUGAAAGAAAAGGGUAUUUUGGCCUUUUUGAAAAAAACUCUUAACAGCUGUGAUGAAACUACAGGACAGAGGUCUUUUUCAAAAAAUGUAAUGACCCCCUCCCAGGAUGAAUAAAAAGCGCCAACCCGUAAGCGCGUGGUUCCUCAAGUGAACACUAGUUCUGCUAAAUCUCUCUGCCAAAUAUCUUCCAAUCCGAUUUUAAAAACAUCUGAAAACAUUUUCCGAUGGCCGCCGAGAACAAAACCGAACUGCCCUCUGGCUCUGUUGAUGGGAUCCCCAAAGACGCGUCGGCCGAUGAGUCUGUGAAGGCCGCGAAGUGGGGUACCACCGGAGCUUUCCCUUUUGAAGUCGCCACAAGGGCUCCCAAUCGGUCCGAUGCUCUCAAGACGGUCUCUGAUAUGCUUGAAAGCAGAGGGGUCAAAGUUGUUGGCCAGAAGAUUGAGAAGAAUGGUUCGAUCUCGAUGAAUUUGAAGUUGCCAGAUGGCGGUGAGUCGGAGAUCGUUGUUGCCGAUCAGCAUCGGCCGCUUCCUAAUUCUGAAUCUGAGAUCUGGUAUAAGAAAGGCAUCGGCUUCUUGAAGGCUGCCAUGGUCAUUGAGUUUACUGGAGAAGACAAGAAGGAGAUGCUGGUCAAGCUGUCCAAUCUUCCGCCUGAGUUUGAGAUAAAGGAUGUGGAGAUUGAGGUUGAAAAGCGCAAGCUGGUUUUGAAGCUGAUCACUGAGCUUGACGAGAACAGGGAGCUCGUGAGGUCUGAGGAGUUGCCAGUUGAUGCGACUGGGAGUGCGGUCUCGACUUUGAUGGAGGGUCGAACCCUCGUUCUCAAAUUUACUCUUGAGAAACCGAAGCCGGAGGAGAAGCCCAAGUCAAUAAUCUCAAAGAUUUGGCGAUUUGCAAAAGGAGCCGUGAAGAAAGCAGGGCCAGCCUGUGUGGCUGUGGGUGCGAAGAUGGGUUUCGAUGAAAUGAAUAAUGAUGAACCCAACGCCGAGCCCGAGGCCGAGCAAGAGUGAAAGUACGCUGCUAAAUUAGCUUCCAUACCCCUCAUGCUGUUGUGUGUUAACGAUUAGGAGGUUUGAAUAAAUUCUAGAAGAGAUAUAGCUGUUUGUUUGUUUUCUAUAUUAGGAAACUUUUUUAGUGUUUUUUCUUCAUUUCAUUUGAAAGAACUUGUUUUACGCAAAAUAGAGAGAACUUGUGUUAAAGAGUCUGGAAACCUGUUUUCUUCAUUGUGUGACAAACUAUUGUUUUGGAAAUGAUGACAUUAGGCAUUAAUCAUGAUUUGAUUUGAUUUGAUUUGUGGUAGUGAAAACGCAUUUGAAACCAUAAUAGUUAAAAUGUUUUUGGAUUUUCGUGCUAGCUCUGUAAUCUCUUUGUGUCAUUUAUUAUUGAUUGAUUGUUUUUACCGAAAGAUUGAAGGUAAUGUAGACUGUAUAGAUAUCAACAAUGCCAGCUAUGGUCAGGCUAUGAUGUACCCGUUGCCCCAUAACCCUGAAAAUUUUUAUUUUUGCGCCUUGUACUUUGUCUGAAAUAGCUU
rnacentral:lncRNA from 1 species